UACUUUACGGACAUUUCACAUGUUAAACUAAUCUAGUUUAAUAUCAAGGGCAAAGAUUAUUGUUUUAAGCUGUCUCAUAUAAAUGUUAUAUGCUUAAACGAUAAAUCCAAGGAAUAUGUAAUUAGGAGAAUGUAAUUUAAAGAAGUUAGAUUCAUGAGACCAUUCUCUUUCGUAUACAUAUCCUAAAUGUUCCUGAUCAUAGGAUUGCCAAUUGGGCAUUGACAGUCCGUUAAGAUCAGUACGUGCUGUGUCUUUUCUCAGAGAGAGUGACUGGUCUCGAGUCAUUGGUGUGAUUGACACCAAGACAAGCAUGUAGGUGCUUAAUAGAGAAUGAGUCCACUGAACACGAUCAACGAUGAGUUCUCAUACUUAUGUCACAUUAGAACUCAUGGUUGGGAUAACGCAAAGUAGUCAUUUAACCUGAGGCAUCAUAGUUGUCUUGUGGUUAGGUCCUUGAUCUUUGACUAUGUCAAAGUCACUCUAUCAGAGGGUGUUCACGGCAUAGUUGGGGUUAAGCCACUUAGCCAUGGAUGCAAGUGAAUGCGCAACAAGGGAUCUCUAACCUUCAAACCGUUUGAGGGAGAAUACUCUAUGAUAUGAUUAAGAAUCUUUGGCCAGAGUAUGAAUGAGAUUUAGGAAAUCGUUCCAAAUCACAUUCAAGGUAAUCAUAUAAGUAAAAGAAUCACAUUGGAUAAUAGACAUGAAUAAACUAUCAAACCAAACAAUGUGGUCAAGAGUAUUGUAUUAGAGAAAGACCGUAUUGCAUUGUAAUCCUAAACUGAAUAGGUUCGCCACCUCUUCUGAUUAGCUUGGGUAACCAUGACAUACUGCUAGGUGUCACUCAUGGUUUGUGGAAGCCCUAAACGUGUAUAAACACUAAAGGGAGAAUUGAAAGUAAGUUUCAAUUCACAAUCGAUUUGAAAGAGUUCUAAUCGCCCACUACCUCGCUAAAAGGAACCUAAUGGAUCGUACACCGUGUAAGGUAGAGAUUGAAGAAACAACGGAGAUGAGUAAGGAUAAUUAAAUGGUUUAAUUAUUUAUGGCAAGGAUUAAUUAAUAUGUUAAUUAAUCAAACGAAUAAAGUUCGUUAAAGACCUCGGGUUAGUUUUGGGCCUCAAGGCCCAAUGGGCUUCGAACGUCAAGCCCAUUGACUUAAGUUGUAUGACAACUUAAUGACUAAAUAUUCACAAAGGCCCAAACAGCCCAAUAACACCCUAUGGCCGGCCAUAUUGAUAAAGGAGUGGGUUUUGGACUUAUUACAAGUUUGCCACUCCAAUGAAGGUAGGUAUAAAUGUGAUUUUAUAGCCUUUUCUUCAUUAGGGUUUUUUUUAGAGAAAAGAUGAGAACACAAUGUCUAUCCCUUUCUCUCUAAGAGGCCGGCCACCCUAGAGGAUUUUAGCUAGCAAUCUUACUUCCUCUAGGUCACUUAUCUCUUCUUCAAGUCCAUCCUUGGUGUGGAAAAAUUAGAGGUUCUCAACUUUGGGAACUUGGAGAAUCCUUUCAACCAUCCUCAUCCAAGAAAUCCAUGGAUCUAAGAAGCAAGGAAUAAAGGCCUUCUCCUUGGGUGAUUAGUCUUUGCUUAUGCAAAGAGGAAUCAACAAAGGUAUAAAAUCUCUCAAUUCACUUUGUUCUUGAGUUGAGUCUUGGUUCACCUUUCUACUAGGCUUUGAAUUUCAUGGGUAAUGUUUUGUUUUUUAGUGCAUACAAGCAUGAUUCUGCCUUUAAUUGUUAAUUGCAUGCCAUAGAUGUUGCUCAAAAGAACAUGUUUUUACAAAAUUGUCUUCAAUUUACAUUACUUGCAGAUUCACGGCCGGAUUUACAUUGUUUCAAGACCUCCGGUUUUGUGCAUCAACAUUUUCAAUAACAAGAAAUCUAUAAGCUAUACUACUUAGAGCAUAUUCGAGAAAAACACAAGUAGUAGCUUUGGCAACCAAUUUAGGUAUUUUUGAAUUAGUUAACUUUGUAUAGGCUAAACAACCCCACACUCUUAAAUAUCCUGAAUUUGGUUUAUGGCCUUUCUAUAUCUCAAAAUGUGUAAUUUUUGUUUUCUUGUGUGGCGCUCUGUCCAACACAUAACUAAUUCUUUAAUAACAUUAUUUUCAAUAUCAAGAAAUCUAUAAGUUAUUUAGAGCAUAUCCGAGAAAAACACAAGUAGUACCUUUGGUAACCAAUUUAAAACUUUUAGGAUUAGUUAACCUUAUAUAGGCUAAACAACCCCACACUCUUAAUAUCUUGAAUUUGGUUUAUGGCUUUUCCAUAUCUCAAAAGUGUGUAAUUUUUGUUUUCUUGUGUGGCAAGUUGUCCAACACAUAACAAGCAGUUAAAAUAUCUUCACCUCAAAGAUUAGAAGGAGCACCUGAAUCAAUUAGCAUAGCAUUUGUUAAAUCAAUCAAAGUUCUAUUUUUUCAUUUCGCUACGCCAUUAAAUGUAGGAGAAUAUGAUAGUGUAGUUUCAUUUCUUAUUCUUAAAGAUUGUACAUAGGAUUUAAACCCAGAAGAUUCGUAUCCUUCCCUAUAUCACUUCCAAGUUUUUUAAUUUUUCUUCCCAGCUGAUUUUCAACUUCAAGGAGGAAUUCUUUUAAAUUUAUUAAAAACAUCACUUUUCUUUUCCAUCAAAUAAACAUAAGUAUAUUUGGAAUAAUCAUCAAUAAAAAUGAUAAAAUAUCUAUUUCCUCCACAAGUUAAAAUUCCUUCAAAUUCACAAAUGUCAGUAUGAAUUAAUUCCAAAAAUUCAUAAUUUUUUCAACAUUUUUAUGAGGCUUUUUAGUGAUUUUAGCUUUACUACAACUUUCAAAAUUUUCUGAGUCUUUUGUCAUUGUUGGAAUUAAAUUCAAACUCUCAUGAUUCCUACAUAUUUUCUAUUUAUAUGACAUAAACAUGCAUGUCAAAAUUGUAAAAAAAAUCAUAUAAACUGAAGUAGAAGCUUUAUUACCAUUCUCAACAUUCAUCUUAAACAUGCCAUCACAAGCAUAACCCUUUCCACAAAUACACCAUUUUUGGUGGUUACAUAUUGAUCAUAUUUCAUGGUCUUUUUAAAACCAGCCUUAUUAAGAAGAUAACUCGACAUAAUAUUUUUCCUCGUAGAAGGCGUAUAAAGUACAUCUUUCAAAACUAAAGUCCUUUUAGAGGUAAAUUUGAGAUCAACCUCACCACUUCCAAGCACUUGAAUUGUAUGUGAGUUACCAAACAUAAUUGUCUUCAGCUCCUUAUACGGAGUAUAUUUCUUGAACCAACCUUUGUCAAAGCAACACAUGCAUAUUGGCUCCAUAAUUUGCCCACCAUCCUUCGUCACUUGUAACCAUCAGUAAUCAUCGUAACAAAUGGUUCUUCUGUUACAUGAGCUUGAGGAUUAGGCUCAUGUUCCCAGUAUCUGCAAAAUCAAGCAAUAUUCCCACUCUUGCCACAAACAUAACAAGAUGAAGGGGAUUGUUCGUUUUUACUCAUAUAAUUUCCUUUAUUAUGUUGGUAAGGUUUUCCAAAUUUCUUUAUAUUUUUCUUCUUAGGCUAAAGCUGAUCAUUUUUAGAACAAUUAUUUUUGGACAUGUUAUUGUUUGAUAAGAUUAGAUUUACCUUUGUAGAAUUACCAUUAUCCUCUUGCAUAAGAACAUCUUGUCCUCUUGCCUCUUCCUCUACACAGAUGCAUGUAAUCAAGGUCUCCAAGGAAAUCUCCUUUUUGUUGUGACACUUUGUUUUAUGGAACUCUCUCCAAGAAGGUGGUAAUUUGUCUAUGAUACCAGCUACAAUAAGAUUGUCAUCAAUUUUGACUCCUUCGGAUGUGACUUCCACUAUAAUCAUUUGGAAACCUUGGACUUGCUCUGCAACUGAUUUCCCAUCCACCAUUUGGCAAUGGAAAUCACAGCUUGCUGCAUAUUUCUUUGCACUUGCCUCCUCGAUGUCAUAUUUACUCUGCAAAACUUUCCAUAUCUUUGUUGCAGAACAAUAAGUGGUAUCAUAAUAAUCAUAAAAAUGACUAGCAAGACAAUUCAAGAGAUAAUAUCGACACUUGUAUUCAUCGUUUAAUAUUGUUGGACUUUGUUUCAUGGUCAUAGUGCUCAUCUUCAUUCAUGUUCUCCAUGCUCUGUUUAUUUGGAUUUUUGUCGGUGAGAACGUAGUCAACUUUGAGAAGAUUGAGAUAGAAAAAGACUUUCCCCUUCCACCUCUUGAUGUGAGCUCCCUUGAAACGGAAUGGCUUGUUGAGAUCUCCAACAUUAUCAAAUGGCUUCUUAGGUACAAGCUCCAUGAAUUGAAUCUCCUUAAAAUUGUUAGGAAAAUUACAAGAAAAUUGUAAUAUUCUUCUAAGAAGCGCGUGGACAAUUAGGCUGAGGUGCGCUAGUAUCUCACUUUCUUUAAGAAGAUUCAGGCCCACUACGGUUUGACUAAAAUUCACGAACCGGUGCAGCUAUAUAUCUCUUGACUUGUCCUGUCCAGGAUGCAACAACCUCACUGAAUUUUUGUUUGACUCAAACCUAUCUACACAAAAAGGGAAGAGUCCAAAGCUCCACCAUAACAACACCCUUCUUUGGCUAAGUAAAGAUGGAAAAGAUGGAGGAAUAAGGAAUAAUAGUUGUAGAGGAAAUUGCUUGUGGGAUGAUCAAUAAAAAUAAUGAUAGAGAAAAUGCUACUAAUUAUAGGUUUAUUAUCACCCUUAGUGAAUAGGGUAAUAAACCUAUCAUUAACAACAAAAUGAGUUACAAGAGUUACAGUACGUGAAAGGUUAAAAGACUCGCACUUAAUUCCUCACUAAUAAUGAAUAAUGACAAACUUAAUACCCCACAACAACCAAAUAAUGACAAACAAACUUAAUUUCCCACUAACAACUAAAUAAUGACAAUUAUAAUUAACAUAUUUAAUAUUAAAAAUGCACGAACAUGUUCUUAUCUGCGAGAUUUCUUUUGGGGACAAGGAUUGUCUGCCCUCCACUUCUAGUGCCUUUUUUGUGCCCUCCUGUUUUGUGUGGUUACGGUUAAGUCACGUCAACAUUUUAUAUUGUUUUUUUAUACAUAUAAUAAGACAAAAAUGAAUAGUAAUAUAAAAUGUUGACGUGGCUUAACCGUGACCAUACAAAUAAGAGGACACUAAAAGGGCACCGAAAAUGAAAGGCAGACAAUCCUCAUCUUUUUUUGGAGUGUGAUAUCAGAGGGUAGUGCAGACGUGGGCUCUAUCAGCACUGAUGCUUUCUCUCUUAGUCCAAUCACAGAGGACAUUAAACUGUGACUCUGCUCUCUCAAUGGCGCACGAGUCUCGCAUGUACGACGUUCUGCUAAUGCAGUGGCUCAUAAAUUAGCUAGAAUGAUUUUAUUUUUAUUUGGAUUCUUGUUAGUUCGAGAAACCACGGGAUAUGUGCAAUGUCCUUCUAGCUGAUUGUACCACUUGUUAAUUCAAUAAAGUCACUAUCGUUUCUUCUCAAACAAUAAAAUAAAUCAAUUUGGAAUUUAUUCAUUGCGUUUAAGACAUAUAAAAACAUUAUUUUAUAGAUUGGCAUCUGCUUAAGUAGGACUACAUAAAUUACGUUACAUUUCUCCAUAAAAUUAUGAAGUAGCUACAAACAUUUAGAAAUAAACUGUAUAUGCAUAAUUGCCAGAAAACUCAUCAUCACUCAGCUUCGAUGAGUCCAAUUCCGGCAUGAAAAUCAAAGCCUAUGUGGUAUAAGAGUACCAUAUGAUAGUGGAGCUCGUGGCAGAUGAUCGGUCUUCUUCUCAUUUGAACCUGAAUACGGCCUUUUACAAGGAAUGUAAGUCAUCUCCUUCUCGUUGGGACACUUUCUAGGCUUGGAGAAGAAAGUAGCACAUUCCAUCUUUGUUCUCUGAUUUGGUUGGCCCAAAAUGCAGUUCUUACUAACAUCAAGUAUCUUUCUAUUAACCAAUUUCUGGCACUCUGGACCGACCACAGUGAAAUAGUUGUCUGCCAAAGACAAGUUCCCCAGGGUAGACAACUUGCACACCAUCUCAGGCACGGGUCCGUAGAACUUGUUCUUGGCUAAGUUUAGAUACACUAUCUUGGCCAAGCAAGCAAACGAGGCUGGUAUUGGGCCUGUUAAGUAGUUGGAACUUACAUCGAACACGGUGGCCUGGUUAAGGUACCCAAUUUCGUAUGGCAGACACCCUGUAAAGCGAAGUAUUAAAUAUCGUUAUCGAACAAAAUAUCUACAUUCAUAUCACGAGAUAUCAAUAAAAUAUUGAUAAUUAAUUGGUGCAUUCUAACUAUCUUUUUCCUACAAAUUAUAUGGAAUUAAUGUAAAAAUUUCUUUCUCUUAAAUUACAAAUGAGACUCUUCAACUCAGAACAUAUUUUAACAUUAAGAAAAGUAAUACCACUAAAUUAAGAGUUAAUUGAUCCGUAUCUAAUUUCUACAACGUUCUUUUCUUUUCUUUUUUUAACAAAAGAAAUAAAGAGACAUAAGAGACUUAGACCGAAGAAAUUAUGAUGAUAUUAUUGUUAGACCACCAUACCUGAAAGCUUGUUCCCAAGGAAGAGAACUUCAUAAAGAGUUUUGGAUGCUUGGCCAAUGCUUCUUGGGAUCGGACCGGUGAAUUUGUUGUUGGCAAAAGUGAAGUAAUGGGCAGGUGAGGAGCCAAGAUUGUCAGGGAUCUGCUUAGUGAAAUUGUUGUUGUUGAGGAAGAGCACAUCAACUCCUAGGUCGAAGACUUGGGCUGGGACAGGACCGGUAAAGAAGUUGAACCGGAGGUCCAAAAAUGUCAAAUUUUUUGCUCUUAAAACUUCGUACGGAAACCUUCCAGUUAGCUUGUUGUUGCUGAGAUCGAGCUCGUAGAAGUAUCGAAGCAUGGCAGGGUUUACCGGGACUGAGCCUGUGAAGUUGUUGGAGUUUGCAUGAUAAAACACCAAGUCUGGUAACUCGUCAAGGAAGCCACGGAGUGGAAGUUUAUUGUUGAAACCUUCGAACAUAGCCCCGUUGAUGUCUAAACCGGAGACUGCUUUCUUCUUGUAGACAGGAUGAACGGCGCAGACAAAGCCCUUGUAGUUGCAAACUUCCGCACCUCGCCAUGUCUUUGCGAAGCCCUUUGGGUCGGACUUGAUUUUGGCUACGAACUUCUUAAUCACAUAGUAGGCAAUUUUAAUUCGGUCGCUGUCGAAGGGGUAGGGGGAAGGUGGUGGCGGUGAAGGCUGUGGUGAUGGAGGCGGCGGUGGUGGCAGCACUGGCUGUGGGCUUGGAGGGGGAGGGGGAGCAGGUGGCGGUGGUGAAUGAUGUGGUGAUGGAGGCGGUGGUGAUGGAGGCGGCGGUGGUGAAGUCUGUGGUGAUGGAGGCGGCGGUGGUGAAGGUUUUGGUGAUGGAGGCGGUGGUGGUGAAGGCUGUGGUGAUGAUGGAGGCGGCGGUGGUGAAGGUUUUGGUGAUGGAGGCGGUGGUGGUGAAGGCUGUGGUGAUGAUGGAGGCGGUGGUGGUGAAGGCUGUGGUGAUGGAGGCGGCGGUGGUGAAGUCUGUGGUGAUGGAGGCGGCGGUGGUGAAGGUUUUGGUGAUGGAGGCGGUGGUGGUGAAGGCUGUGGUGAUGAUGGAGGCGGCGGUGGUGAAGUUUGUGGUGAUGGAGGCGGCGGUGGUGAAGGUUUUGGUGAUGGAGGCGGUGGUGGUGAAGGCUGUGGUGAUGAUGGAGGCGGUGGUGGAAAGGCUGUGGUGAUGGAGGCGGCGGUGGUGAAGGCUGUGGUGAUGGAGGCGGCGGUGAUGGAGUCUGUGGUGAUGGUGGCGGCGGUGGUGAUGGAGGCGGCGGUGGUGAAGGCUGUGGUGAUGGAGGCGGCGGUGGUGAAGGCUGUGGUGAUGGAGGCGACGGUGGUGGAGGCGGCGGUGGGCAUGGAGGGGGAGGGGGAGGAGGACAGUCUUGGUAUUUGGGGGAAGGAACAGGAGGGCUGGCACCUCCUCCUCCACCUAUGAUUAUCUCGAAGGCUUCAACCUUACAAUGGUACAAACAUAAAUGCACCAACAAUGUUGAGAUCAAAAGUGAAGAAAUGAAAGAGAAGGCACCCAUGUCUCUUUGUUUAAGCUCAAGGAGUGAGGAGUGGCUAGAAAUGGUGAGGAGAUAAUAAUUUUGUUUAAGCUCGAGGAGGGAGGAGCAGCUAGAAAUAGUGAGGAGAUAAUAAUGAAUAAUAAUAAUAAAAAAAAUAUAUAUUUAGUAUGCUAAGGAGACUAAGAAGGAAAGACUUGAGAAAGAAUAGUCAAGGGUCAUGCGGGUCAUGGGGAAACAGAUAAAAUUGGCCCCAAAAAUGUUGUCUGAGGCCGAGAGUUGAGCUCUCAUUGUCAGACAGAGACACACUAUUGUUAUACAGUAUUAUUUGUCAUUCACUCUGAUUCCUUGCAUUAUUUUUAUAUUUGCUUUAUAAAGUGUAUUGGUGCCUACCAAUAGUUUUACUAGAUUGGCCUUUACUAAAAAGAUUUAUACAAGUGAUUGGAAUCGAAGGAAAAAUACACCACUUGAAGAUGUGCUACAACUUUGUUUUGAUUGGGAGUCAUUCAUUUCACAUGGGGGUGGAGAUUUCAACUUCUCAUUUCCACACGAGCAAAAAUCCACCUUGACUUCCAAGUCCAUGCCCGAUGCCCUGUGCAAUUUCUUUUAGAGGGUACCAAAAGCACUUUUGGAUUGUUUCAACACAUGACAGACAAGUGUGUGAAUUUUGAUAUUCAAUUUGGUACUCCUAAUAACUAAAAGGAUAAUAUUUGCAUUUCGUACUUAUGGAAUAUAAACUCACUCUAUCACUUGCAAAUAACGUAUAUUCAUCGUAAAAAUUAAAUUGAAAUCACUCAAUUUCUAGCUUCUAUUUGGAGAUCAUUCUUACAAAAAAAAUCAUUUGAAUUAGAUAUUGUUUAGUUAUCUAGAAUAUUUAGGACAUGUUUUGCCCCCACUUGAAAAUAGGGAACUUUAACAAAAAAACCACAUUUUUACACUAAAAGGUCAAUCCUGAUACUAUUCACUUUACCCUUUAUUUUGUCCUUAUCAUUAAAACUCAAAACUUUCAAGUCAUUUUCAUUAAUUCUUCUUUAAAAAUAUAAUAUUAUGAAACCCAAUAUGUCACUUGAAUCAAAGAUAAUUGAUGGGCAACAACUUCUAAUAUAUAGAUUAAAUUAUAGAUGUUGAGUCCGACUGCUUACUAGGAGAAUACAAGUAUAAUUAAUAGUCGUUAGGCUGAGGAGGGAAAUCUAAAUGUCCUUAAUCGACCAAAUAAAUCCCAAUUAUGAAAUAAACGAACCUGUAAAAACUUGACAGGUCCAUCAGUUCAAAACCAAUUUUUGACCAAACUCACGAUAGAGAAACAUGUAACUUCUAAUACAUUUAGGAUGGUGUUACCUACACUCUUUUUUACAUUUAGAAUGGUGUUGUCUCUGUUUUUUUUUCUUUUUUCAGUUUAUUCGAUUUGACAAUUGAAAAUUAAGAGAAUGUGAAAAAAGAAAAAUAAGGUUAGCACCAACCUAUAUUUAGUUUGAAUACAUCUAGUAGAAUUUCUCUUCACUUAAAUCUAGUAGAAUUUCUCUUCACUUGUAAGUAAGAGGUUUUAGGUUCGAUUCCUACCAAAAGCGAAUUUGAACGAUAUUAUUGUUAGUCUAUUAUAAAGCUAAAUUCACUAUUUCUUUUUUAGUGUAAAUAAUAUUGUGUUAAAAAAAAAUUCAAUCAUGAAAUGAUAUUUUUCAUGUUUAUAUUUUACGUGGAAAGGAGCUUCGUACAAUAGGGUAUGCAGUGCCUUUUCCCUUUUUAACUUUGUAGUACAGUGUUUGCUUGGCAAAGUAGCACCUUACUUGGGGCCUCUCUUGCACACAAUACAAAAGCAAAGUUCGACUUCUGCAAAAGAGGAAGUAUAUAAUGUUAUGUUUAAGUGCUUUGCAAAGGAUCGUUAAGGUGCAGUUUUAUUCGGUUCUUAUUUUUUUUCAGUUUUUUUGGGUUCGUUUUCGGUUUUUUUUUUCUUUCAAAAAAAUGAAAAAAUUUGAAGUCUUAAAACAUUGAUGGCAAGUCUUUCCUCUAACUGGGUUAUAAAUCCGCUUUCCAUCACAGCUUCUCAUGCUCCUCUAUGUAAAUAUUUGGCCUAUCACCCUCCUCCAUAGUUAUACCUUUCAUGUAUGAAGCCUCAUCCUUCCUCGACACAUGCACCUCUGCGUAGCUCACUGGUGUCGUAUUCUUCAAUCUGAACCCAUAAACCAAAUCAUGAAAAAAGCAAAAGAAAUCAACUUUAACAAAAUUGAAGUAAAAGUAACUGAGAACCCAAUCCACAUUCUCCAAAAUCAAGUGCCAAAAAGCAUGCACAAUCAGAAACAGCUCCAAACCAACCACAAUCACAAACCUGGUCGAAUAGAUUCAAUCUUUAAACCAAAAACGAGUGUAAUUUUUCAAAAUUUGAGAACCCAUCAAACAUUCAAAACCAGAAACAAUAAAAAAAUCCACCAGAAUCAGAGACCCAUUUGGUUAAAUAUUCUAAUUUCUAAGGGCAAAUAAUGUUCAUAAUCCAAGAAGUUAAUAGAGGGCAUGGAAAGAUUACCUAGAAGAACGACGAGUGGAUCCUAGCGACCGAAUGGAAGGGGGUCCAAACGGCGUUGUACUUCGGCCGGAAUAGCUCUUCGUUAAUCUAGUCGAUUGAAAGUUAGAUUUGAGCUGAAGAGAGAUAUCAACGAUGCCGAGCUUUUACAUUCUUUCGCGGUUUUCUCUGAUUCGAUCUUCUUUGGACUGCUCGUACAGAGACUUGGGGGUUUGGAGAAAGAGAUGAACAAACUAAGAAAGUAGAGCAUGGAGGUGCAAGAAUUCAACGGUGGGAGAGAGAGAGGUAGAGAAGUCAGUUGAAAGAGGAGAUGAAAUGGGAGUAAAUGUGACAGCCCGUCCCGAAGAUAUUUAUUAUUUUAUUAUCAAUGACAUGAAUAUACUAUUUUACCCCCGAUUAUGAGCGUUGUGGUGUGUUAUGUAUGUAAGUGUUGAAAUGGAUGGAAAGGAAAGAAAAUAAAAAGAAGAAGGGAGGUCACGUGUGUGUGUGUGUGCGUGGCUGGUAGAAGAAAAAGAAGAAGAAGAGAUUGGGCAAAGCUGCCUAACCAGAAGAAGAGAGCAGGAGAUCCGGGAGAGAAAGGAGAGAGAGCUGGCGAAUCAGGAGAAGAGAGAAGGAGAUGAUGGCCAACCAGAAAAAGGGAAGGAGGGAAAGGAGAGAGAGAGUGGCGUGGGGGAUCGGCCGGAUCCCCUUGGCCCGUUCUUGACCCGGUUGGCACCCAUACCUAUUUUCAAUGAUUUUCACCCAACUUUCCGGCGAAUUGCUUCAAGAAACCUCAUGGGAAACACUCUAGGACCCUUCGUCUAUCCAUUCCAUCUCAAAUUUGGAGAGUUUUGGCUUUGAAAAUGGAGAAAACCGCAAGAAAAAGGUGCGGCGGCUUUGGCUUCGAAUCAUCCAAUCCCGAAGCAAUUCCUUCCAAUUGUUACCACCCAUAACAUCUUCUUGAGGUCUAGAACAAAGUCCAAGUAGUGGUGGAGGCGUUGGAACAAGUUUGGAGGUCGAAUCGAAGCACACCAAAUUCUAAGGUCCGCACGGAUUUUGGUGAAAUUGAAGUGUUUCCAAGCCAAAUUGGCCUUGGUCACAGGUAUGAAAGUUGUUCUACUCAUUGAGAUUUUCAAAUCUGAAAAUUUUGGUAAUUUUUAGAAAUAGUUGAAUUUUCCGGCGAGCCAGGGCGGCCGACCGCCACCCGUGGCGGCUGGUGCGGCGGCAUGUGGCCUGAGGGCCGCCAAUGCUAUUUUUAGAAUAUAUGUGAUGUCUUGAAUUCAGUUUUGAGAAGUGAAUGACGUAGAUUGAUUGUUAGAGCCAAAAUUCUCUAAGAUACGUUAAUAGGCCAUUGUAUGAAUCGACGAUCCAACUGUCGGAUCGUCACCAAACUUUGAUACGUAGUAGUACGUAAUAUUUAAAGAAUGUAGGAACUUACGGAUUUGGAAUUCGAUGGACGGAUCUUCCCGAAUUGGAUUUGUAAGUUCAUAAAAUAAAAUGUUAACCGCCACUUAGUUUUGGAAAUUGGCGGAGAUCCAACCGUCGGAUCGUAACGAAAUUUUAGUAUGUUGUUCUAGAAGCUUAAUGUGUAUCUUGGGAAGUAACGGAUCAGAAAUCUGAGUUGUGGAUCUUCCAGAUUGAGUUAUUUGGGGUUAUGACCCUACCGUCGAACUUAGUCGACGGUUGACCUUUGAUCAACGGGUCUCGCAUUAUUCUUGAAUGCCCUUGAGGAUAUGUGUUAUGUGAAUUACAUAUUCUAUGGAUAAGAGUUAUGAGAUGUGGUUUGAUAACUGUUUUAGGCACCAAGCGUUCGGGACGCCUUGGUUCUGAUGUUAGGGAGUCGUAGCGCGAAUCCCAGGUGAGUGGGCAGUUAUUUUUAGUAUAUAUAUAUAUAUAUAUAUACACUUGACGUUUUUCCCAGAAAACGUAUUUAAAGGAAAUGCAAUUUAAAUGCCAUGCCAUAAAUGCCAUGCAUAUACAAUUAUGUUUCGUGCAUGAAUUGAUGUGUGAUACCUUAUAUAUAUAUAUAUAUAUAUAAAUGUGGUGUUGUGGUGUUGUGGAGGCACAGGUAAGUUCAGGUAAGUUGUGUUUGGUUAUAUAAAUCAUCGAUGAUGCGAUAUGUGAUUGAGAAGCGAUAGCUCAUAAACUUGCACCCAGGGUGAUUGCGAUUUAGCCAGAGAGAGCAGGCACAUGCCUAUAUAUUAUGUCACCUCCCGCACCAUAUGCUCACAUUGGAUCCCAUUAGGUGCAUAGUCUUGUCGUACAGACCACUGUAAGUGGUUCCGACUUGUAGGUGACUAACGUAUUAUCGCACAGCUAGCAUUGAGAGAGUAGAAUUGAGCAUAAUUAUAUUACACCCAACCUUGUCGCACAUACCCUUUUCAGUGGUUCCGACUUAUGUGCAGUAUAUUGUGUUGGAAGUAUGCCCACAAAGCCACUCAUUUGAUGUAAUAGCUUUUUGGAAUACUUAAUGUAUUAAACUUUUAUAUGUUUAAUGAAGGGCAAAGCUUAUUGUUGAUCACUAUUUAUUGUAUCAUGUGUUUAAGUAAUAAGGGAAUCCAAGGGAUGUAUUUGAUCUAAGAGACAAGUGAUCUAAGUGAGUUAGAUUAUCGAGACCAUUCUCUUAUGUUCAUUCCUAAAACGUUCCUAGCCAUAGGAUUGCCAAUUGGGUAUUGACAAUCCGCUAAGGUUAGUAUGUGUUAUGUCGACUCAAGCUUGAGUAUGACUAGUCUCAAGUCAUUUGGUGUUGGACACUAAGACAAACACAUAGGUGCUCGAAAGAGUAAUCGAGUACACUGAACAACGAUCGAAAGAGAGUUCGAACAUACAUGUCAUGUAAGAACUCGAAAGUUGCAAUAUGCAAAGUAGUCCUUUGACCUGAGGCAUCAUAGAUGUCUAAUGAUUAGGUCCUUGAUCUUUGAUCAUGUCAACGGCAUUCCAUCGGAGUGUCCACGGCAUUGUUGGGGUCAAGCUAUCUAGUCAUGUAGGCAUAUGAAUGCACAACAAGGGAUCUCUAACCUUCCAUGGUGGAAGGAGAAUACUCUAAGAUAUGAUUCGUAAGUCUUUGGCCAAAGCAAAUGAAUAUGACUUAGGAAGUUUGUUCCAAUUCGUAAGUCCCCGGCAACGGCGCCAUUUUCUUGAUAGGGAUUUUUACUACUCAUGUGAAUGCGAUAAAAACCUCCUAUUUUACUUGCAAGAAUCACAAGGUUAUUGUAAUAUAAACGGAUUUCGCAAGGUCAUUCUCCACAGGGAUUAUUAAAUAAUUCAAAACAAACCAGAUUUCAAUUAAUGAUUGUAAUGUAGAAAUUUAGAUGAUUGAUUUUAUAAUCUACUUAAAGUAAAAACGAAUUUAAUGAAUUAAAAUAGAUAAUCUGCAAUAUUAAAGCUAGAGAGAAGAAAACAGUUAUGAAAAAAUCAAAUUGAGAAGGCACUAGGGUUCCACCAUCACCUAGCAAUCCUAUGAAUUUUUACUCAUUACUUAUGAUCUACACAUACCACUUUGAAGGUUAGAUUUUCCUAAUUCAUAUUCUACUUGGAACCUCCAACGUAGAACGUAUAUCUAACAUGCAACCCGUCCGGACGUUCGGAUCAAAUAUGAACAUGAGAGACUCAUUAUGCUUUAUGAAAAUCCUUUGAAAAACCAUGCAAUCCUUAAGACGUGAUAUUCAUCCUAAGAGAAAUUACAAUUAUUAAUCACAAGAAGCCAGCGUCAAUUUCAGGGAACCUUCCGACCAAAAUUGCAUCAAAUUACUUUUCUAAAGAUCCUAAUGGUGAUCAUGCAUUACGACAAUUAGAUAGUUUUUAUCCCGGUGAUUAACAAUUCAAAGUACGCAUGCAAUCGAUCAUAAGCAAUUAAAUAAAAAUCACAUAUUCAUGCUAAGGCUCAAGGCUUCGCCCUAGCAAAAGAAAUUAGUUCCGCAUAUUCAUAAUUGAAAUCAUAGAAAAUAUUCUUAAGAAAAAGAUUGAAAACACCUUCAAGUAGAAAAUCUUCAAAACCCUAGCACUUCUCUCUGUCUCCAAUAUUGCAUAAAAUAAAGCGUAAUCUAAAACUGUAGACGGCCAAGCAAUAUAUAUCUGCUAAGCCACCACACAAACCCUAGCAAACAAAACCCUAAAUUAAAUAAUAAAAUUCGUCUAAAAACUGAACAGCCACGUUUUGGCCCAUAAGCUGCUCCAAAACUGGCUCAAUAUAGCUGGAUUUAAUGUUUGGAAUAUUCUGAACACUUUUCCAGAAGGCCACGAACCCAUCCGAGGUCAUCUUGGGCUCCAAAAACGCAAUUUAAGCCCAAAAACGUCACUUUCCAGCACUGCGCACUGCUUCUUUAUUUCAUCGUCAAAAAAUCACCGCUUGGUGGAAAAAUCCUAAAUUUUGAUACGAUCAAGCUAAGUGACUAACGAACGUCCUCCAACUAGAAUUACUCCAAAAUUCGUCCAUUUGGUCCUGUUUUGCUCCAGAGGAAAUCGAAAGUCCUAUAUUGAAAAUACAAUUCAAAGUAUCAAAAUUCUUCCAAUAUAUUAACCAAAAUAUACUAAGAUUAGGGUAAAAUAUAUAAUAUAAAAUCUACUCAUCAAAUACCCCCAAACUUAGCUUUUUGCUUGUCCUCAAGCAAAACAAGACUCAAACAAAAAAUAAAAACUUAACAAACUAGACAACUAGCUAAAUUUAACUGACAAAAAUUUUCACCUUCAAAGUUGCAAUCCAUAGCAAAUUUUAAAAACUAGAACAUUUUUUCAAAAGUUCCAACCAAUCCCACCACAGAGUCUAAGCCAUUUAGAAUCAAUUAGAAAAGAAUUCACAGACUUCCUUUGGUGUAAAGUGAACCAACAUAGUUAAAGAGACUCGACUAAAAUUCUUACCUCUCGUCCUUAUUUAUUUCACACAUAGUAACUUUAAAUAUAACUCUCUUUCUUUUUCUUUUCUUUUUUUUUUCUUCUUUUUUCAUAUAUAACCUUUUUUUUUUCUUUUUUUUUCAGUAACAGUAGUGGUCGUGCAAUGUCGGUUUACUUAAGCUUUCGAUCCAACCCAUGUAGCGAGCUUUAGGUCAAUGACUCCCAAACCACUAGGGCUUUAGGGCACUGGGUGUAGAACACCCCUAAGGACUUAUUAACCCGAGCUGAAAAGGCUACGAAACCAACUAACCACCCUGCCUCAUGCCAAAACUCUACCGUUUGACGCGAGAAUCACUGCUGAUUAGGCAGGACUGGCCCGGUUACUAGGCAAAACCUCGGGUGAGACAAUUAUUACUUUUUUUUUUCCUAAUAAUUAACUUUACUUAAACAAAAAUUAAAAAUAAACUUAGACUAAAAGCAAGUAUUUCAAUCUCACUCCCCACAAACCAUGUUGGUGUGAUGUGCACAGUUCAAAGUAUAACUCAUGAAUUAGUGUCUAAGCAACGAUAAAUAGAAAAGACUCUAAUGUGGGAUUAAUCUUUACCAUGUCCAUUUGUUCUAACGUUUAAAAUAAUCUAUGGAUAUUAACUUAACAAGAAUGAAAAUUUUUAAACGGACACAAUAAUAAAAAAAAACUAAAAUUUACUUUCCCACCCCCAAACUUAUUUCACAUUUUGUCCUCAAGGUGUGGAAACUAAAAUAAAAAAUGACAAAAAUAAAAUAAACUUAAACGAACAAAAAUAAUUAUAACAAGGAAAAGUAGUAACAAGAACCAAAGAAAAAGAAAAAGACUACCUGGCUUUGGAAGUGACGUUGUGGUUGAUAUAAGUGUGGCCAAAUAAAAGCCACACAAAGCCCAUGCAAUGAAAAUCUCCAACUUGCACGCCACCUUCACUUGCACGCCUGCUGUACACCAUAUUUGAAAUCAGCAGGCCAUCACGUGGCGUCCAUCAGGGCCUGACAAACAUGUGGGGGUUAAAUUCGGAUUCCCCAGGAAAGCUACUGGCAGCUGAGAAUCUGCACCCAAAUAAGCAUAUUUCAAAUGUUCUGGAAGAACCUUUAACUCUAGUUUAGGUGGCUGUACCUUAGAGGGCUGCAAUAACUUCUUGGGUUCCCCCAAACUCUCAAAAACGUGCCUCCAACGUGGGGGUUGAAAAUGAACACUUUCCAAAGCUGAAACAUACUCAAAAACCUCAUCAUCUUCUGUAUUUUUGUUCUCAAACCCAUGCAACACAUUUAACAACGGAUCAGAUGUCAAACGUGGCAUAAUUUCAACCUGUAAUAAGCUGUCAAGCACAUCAACACGCAUACAAUCAUGCACAUCACCCGGUCUUUUGGUAGCUUCAAAUAAACUGAACACAACAGAUCGAUCUUGCACUCUAAGUGUAAGUGUCCCAGCCUCUACAUCAAUUAACGUUCUGGCUGUAGCCAUGAAGGGACGUCCCAAAAUAAUCGGUGUUUGCAUAUCUUCAUCCAUAUCCAAAAUCACAAAAUCUGCAGGAAGAUAGAGAUUAUCCACUUUAAUUAUUAGGUCUUCUAUAAUACCCCUUGGAUAAGCAACUGAUCGGUCCGCUAGUUGUAGAAUAACUGAUGUUGGCAUUAUUUCUCCUUGUCCUAGUCUCUGAAAAACAGAAAAAGGCAUUAAAUUAAUACUAGCACCUAAGUCAAUUAAAGCACGUUUAAAAUGAGAAUUUCCAAUUGUGCAUGAAAUUGUAAAACUCCCUGGAUCUUGUUUCUUUGGGGGCAAUUUGUGAAGCAGAACAGCGCUGCACUGUUCUGUAAGAAUUACUUUCUCAAAAUCAACAAGCUUCUUUUUCUUUGUGCAAACAUCUUUCAAAAACUUGGCAUAAGACGGAAUGUUCUUGAUGGCAUCAAUUAACGGCAGAUUAAUCUGAACCUUAGACAAAGUCUUCAUAAAAUCUGUCACUUGUUGAUCUUUAACUUUAGGCUUCAACCGUUCGGGAUACGGCAUAGGUGGCUCAUAAACACGAUCCUCAACAAUAUCUUCUGCGAUAUUUUCAGAACUGUUAACCGGCUGAUCUGAAUCUUUUGAAUUGGCAUAUUUUUCAAUUUUCCCCGAAUCUGUUUUUGGCUGUGAAUCCACCCGCGAAUUUUGAAUGCAAUUUUCAUCCCUGUUAUCAUAACUUUUUCCGGAACGUAAAACUCUAACUGCCUUGCAAUCUACACCUCCCCUAGGAUUUGGUUCGGUUUGGCUGGGAAAUGUACCUGGUGCCCUACCAGAAACCUGCAAAGCAAUCUGCCCUAUUUGUUUUUCCAUGUUUUUCAUUGAUGCCUGCAGAUUUUGAAUUUCUUGAGUUGUAGUGUUUGCCAAUUUUUCAAUCGCAACCUCCCAAGCAGCCUUAGGUGCAGCAGGUUGUUGUACCUGCUGUUGAAAUUGUGGUCUAGUGUGCUGUUCCUUAUCCCACCUUAGAUUAGGAUGAUCUCUCCAACCCGGGUUGUAGAAAUUAGAAUAUGGGUCAUAUCUGGGCCGCUGGAAAUUGUUAAAUGCAUUAACCUGCUCAGCUGUAAACUCUGGUGAAACAUCUUUAUGUGGGCAGUUCAUAAAAUCGUGAGUUAUCAUGUUGCAAAUGCUGCAGGCAGCUUGUAAAGGCUGCUGUACAGCCACCUGUGAACCUGGCAUUCUCUGUAAUAACAUGUCAAAUUUUGCGUCUAGCCUUUUCUCCAUUUUUUCAAUUUGUGCUGUAACAUAUGGAGAACCAUUUGGCAUCUCAAAAACAGACCUAGAUUGUGGCUGCUCAACUGCCCAUUGUUGAGUAUCUUCUGCCAUUUUUUCAAAUAACAAACAAGCCUCUUGUGCAUUUUUGUCCUUGUACGUACCUCCGCAUGAAGCGUUGACAAGAGUUUUUGUUGUCAUAUUCAACCCUCUGAAAAAUAUGUGCAUUUGAUCAGUAGUGUUAAUACCCGAAUGUGGACAUUUUCUAAUCAACUCUUUGAACCGAUCCCACGCCUCAUGAAACUCUUCAUUUGGUUUUUGGGAGAACGAUAAAAUCUGAGUUCUCAUGUCAAGGGUCUUAAAAGCCGGAUAAUACUUGUUUAAAAAUUUUUCACUGAGUUGGGCCCAAGUUGUAAUGCUUCCAGAUGGGAGUGUGAGGAGCCAUCUCCUUGCUUGAUCUUUUAGAGUGUAUGGAAACAACCGCAGCUUAAUAGAUUCGGCUGAAAAUCCCCUCACCAAAAUGUUUUUGCACCCCAUUAAAAAUUCUGCAAUGUGCAUGUUAGGAUCAUCAGAUGACAACCCAUGAAACGUAGGUAGAAUAUUCAACAUGUGCUGUUUUAUUUCAAAUGCAGUCCCUUCCUCCACUGCCGGAUAUGUGAUGCAACUGGGUAUAUUUGUGGUAUGGGCAGUCAGUGAAUCACCCAGGGGCAGACCUGCCUCUGGAAUUAUAAACGCCAUUUUUUCUUUGUUGUGCAGGUCAAAGUCUGAUUGCAGAAAAGUCUCAUGCAGAGGACGAACCCGUUGCAAAUUUUCCUCCCUGCGUUUCCUCCUUAAAUGCUGCUCAAAUUCUGGAUCAAAUGGAAUCAAUUUCUGCACUGUUGAACGGGUGCUGACCAUGCACAGAUUUCUGAAAUCUGUACUGUUGUAAUCUGUAAAAAUAAAUGAAAACGAAAAUUAAAUAUUUUUUUAUUUUUUAUAUAUGUAUAAACAGCAAUAACUAAUUGAAAAUCUGAUUCGUAGGGAUUAUUUUAAAUAAUCCCCGGCAACGGCGCCAUUUUCUUGAUAGGGAUUUUUACUACUCAUGUGAAUGCGAUAAAAACCUCCUAUUUUACUUGCAAGAAUCACAAGGUUAUUGUAAUAUAAACGGAUUUCGCAAGGUCAUUCUCCACAGGGAUUAUUAAAUAAUUCAAAACAAACCAGAUUUCAAUUAAUGAUUGUAAUGUAGAAAUUUAGAUGAUUGAUUUUAUAAUCUACUUAAAGUAAAAACGAAUUUAAUGAAUUAAAAUAGAUAAUCUGCAAUAUUAAAGCUAGAGAGAAGAAAACAGUUAUGAAAAAAUCAAAUUGAGAAGGCACUAGGGUUCCACCAUCACCUAGCAAUCCUAUGAAUUUUUACUCAUUACUUAUGAUCUACACAUACCACUUUGAAGGUUAGAUUUUCCUAAUUCAUAUUCUACUUGGAACCUCCAACGUAGAACGUAUAUCUAACAUGCAACCCGUCCGGACGUUCGGAUCAAAUAUGAACAUGAGAGACUCAUUAUGCUUUAUGAAAAUCCUUUGAAAAACCAUGCAAUCCUUAAGACGUGAUAUUCAUCCUAAGAGAAAUUACAAUUAUUAAUCACAAGAAGCCAGCGUCAAUUUCAGGGAACCUUCCGACCAAAAUUGCAUCAAAUUACUUUUCUAAAGAUCCUAAUGGUGAUCAUGCAUUACGACAAUUAGAUAGUUUUUAUCCCGGUGAUUAACAAUUCAAAGUACGCAUGCAAUCGAUCAUAAGCAAUUAAAUAAAAAUCACAUAUUCAUGCUAAGGCUCAAGGCUUCGCCCUAGCAAAAGAAAUUAGUUCCGCAUAUUCAUAAUUGAAAUCAUAGAAAAUAUUCUUAAGAAAAAGAUUGAAAACACCUUCAAGUAGAAAAUCUUCAAAACCCUAGCACUUCUCUCUGUCUCCAAUAUUGCAUAAAAUAAAGCGUAAUCUAAAACUGUAGACGGCCAAGCAAUAUAUCUGCUAAGCCACCACACAAACCCUAGCAAACAAAACCCUAAAUGAAAUAAUAAAAUUCGUCUAAAAACUGAACAGCCACGUUUUGGCCCAUAAGCUGCUCCAAAACUGGCCCAAUAUAGCUGGAUUUAAUGUUUGGAAUAUUCUGAACACUUUUCCAGAAGGCCACGAACCCAUCCGAGGUCAUCUUGGGCUCCAAAAACGCAAUUUAAGCCCAAAAACGUCACUUUCCAGCACUGCGCACUGCUUCUUUAUUUCAUCGUCAAAAAAAUCACCGCUUGGUGGAAAAAUCCCAAAUUUGAUACGAUCAAGCUAAGUGAAUAACGAACGUCCUCCAACUGGAAUUACUCCAAAAUUCGUCCAUUUGGUCCUGUUUUGCUCCAGAGGAAGUCGAAAGUCCUAUAUUGAAAAUACAAUUCAAAGUAUCAAAAUUCUUCCAAUAUAUUAACCAAAAUAUACUAAGAUUAGGGUAAAAUAUAUAAUAUAAAAUCUACUCAUCAAACGGCAUUCCAUCGGAGUGUCCACGGCAUUGUUGGGGUCAAGCUAUCUAGUCAUGUAGGCAUAUGAAUGCACAACAAGGGAUCUCUAACCUUCCAUGGUGGAAGGAGAAUACUCUAAGAUAUGAUUCGUAAGUCUUUGGCCAAAGCAAAUGAAUAUGACUUAGGAAGUUUGUUCCAAUUCAUAUUCAAAGGAAUCAUAUAGAAAAGUAUCACAUUGGAUAGUAGACAUGAAACAAACUAUCACUUAAACAAUGUGAUUAAGAGUAUUGUAUUAGAGAAGGACCGUAUUGCAUUGUAGUUGUAACUGGAUAGGUUCUCCAACCAAUUCUACUUAGCUUGGGUAACCAUGACAUACUGCUAGGUGUCACUCAUGGUUUGUGGAAGCCCUACUGACUAGCAAACACUAAUCAUAAAGGGAGAAUUGAAAUGUGGUUUCAAUUCACAAUCGAUCGUUAAGAGUAACAAUCGCCCACUACCUCACUAAUUAGAACCUAAUGGAUCGUACACCGAGUAAGGGCGAUAGUGAAGAAAUUAAAUGAAAUGGAUAUGCAAUUAAAUGGUUUAAUUGAAGAAUGGUUAAGAUUAAUUAAUUAGUUAAUUAAUUAUACGAAAGGUUCGUAUUGGGCUUUUAAGUUGGUUUUGGGUUUCGGGGCCCAAAAGUGUUUUGGUCCAUAAGGCCCAUUAUGUUUAAGUUGUAUGACAACUAAAACAAAAUGGGCAAUAAGCCCAAUCACAACAUAUAGGCCGGCCAUGGUGAGGAGAUGGUGAAAGUUUGCUUAAUUGCAAGUUUGCCACUCACCAAAGAAAAGUGUUAUAAAAGCAACUUUAUAGCUAUUUUCUCAUUAAGGGUUUUCUUUGAGGCAAAGAGGUGAAACAUUUUCUCUCUUUCUCUCUACAAAGAGGCCGGCCACUUAGGGAGAUUAAUCUAGCAAUCUCUUAUUCCCUAAGUCAUCCAUUUCAUCUUCACAUUUAACCCUUGGUGUGGAGACUUAGAGACAUCAAACUUUUGGUGUUUUGGAGAACAAAUCCUCAAAUCCUCAAAGAAGCAAAGGAGCACUAAAAGGAGGAAAAUCACAAGGAAUAUCCAAGGAGCUUGGAGGUGACUUGAAGGCCCUCCACUUGGGUGAAUCCCUUGUGUAAACAAGGAUGAGCUUCAAGGGUAAAGAAAUUCUAAAUCUUUACUUCUCUUUAAUGUUGUUAAAGAGUUUAUUGGUUCACCAUAUACUAGGCUUUGAAAGUCAUGGGUUUUAUGAAUUGUUUUUGAAUGCAUGCCUACUUUAAAGUGUUAAUAGUUUGCAUAUGUAUUCAAAUGUUCUUACUUGUUCUUAGCUAGGACAAAUUUUUUCCUUCAAGUGGUAUCAGAGCCUAGGCCUAGUUUAUGGUGAAUCCUUUUGGGUUUUGUGAUUUUCAUGAUUUAUGAUUUAAAUGUUGUAAAUGUUACAAGCUUUGUUCUUGCUUUUGAAUAUAUAAAUUUUGCUAGAAAAUUUAGCAUCUCAAAUGUUGUAGAUGUACUUCAUUUAAGCAUGAAUAUUGGAACUAAAAUUUGGUGCCAUGAAUAUUGGGAAAUUCGGCCAAAUCCUUAGGGUGAUUUUUUGGGUUCAUGUUUGUCUUGUUAAAAUGGUUGUAAGGUGACUUUUGGAACCCCUAAGUACCCUAGGAUAUUAGCCCUCUUUUGAGUGGUGAAAAAUUGAGUUUUGGUGAGUGAAAACAUUCAUGGAGCUAUUAUGAGUUUUCAUGGUGUUCUUCAAUGUUCUUGAAGUUCUUGCCAAGAACAAAAAAGGUUUGAAGUUGUGAUUCAAAAGUUUUAUGUUUUUUCAUAAAGUUUUGGUUUAAUUUUGAUGGGUGAUAAUUAUUGGUGAAACAUUAAUUUUGGCUUUAAUGUUUGUCAAAACUCUUUAAUGUUUUACAAAACAUUUUCUUACAAACCAUCAAUUUCACCUUUUCCUCACCCACCAAAAUCAACUUGCAUAAAAUCCCUUUCGCACUCUUUCACACUCCAAAAACCGGCCACCCCCUAGUGGGGGUACUUUUGGGGCCUUUUAUGCAAUUACAUAAAGUUUUGAUACUUUUAUGUAUUUGCACUUUGGCCCAAAAAUUUACGUUUUUACAUUAAGGCCUAAAAACUCUAAAGGACGAAUUGUUUUGAUCCUUUAAUGAUGUUUUUACAUUAUUUAAAUUUUGGGAUCUAGUUGUAAUUACAUGAAGUUGUGGACUAUUAUGUUUUUACAAAGUGACCCCAAAAGUUUUUGUAUUUGCAUUAUGGCCCAAUUGUUGUGGUCAUAGUUUCCUUUUGGCCCAAAUAAAAUGAGAACAAAAUUGUUUUGUCUCUUUAAUGAGAAUUGGAUUUUCAUUUCAUUUAGUUCCAUUUAAAUCAAAUCUAUGGAUCCAAAAACCAAUUGUUUAAGUUGCUUUCUUAGUUAAUGUGAUUAAUUAAGAAAAGGGUGAUUAUGAACCAAAGGCCUCGAUAAUUGAGCUAUGUGAUUGGCCGUUUUACAUUAUGAAUGUUUGGGUUUGGUAGUGUAGAUUUGAAUGUAAUUUGAUUAAUUCAAUUUGUUGUAAAUGGACAUAAGUCCAUCAUUUGUGUUGUAAAAGGGCAUAAGCCCUUCUUAUUAUUUCAUGUAUUCCUUUUGUUUAUAUGUAUGCAAAAUGGAAUAGUUGGGUCCAACGCCCAAUAGGAAAUAACGGUUUAAUUGGAUUAAACGCGUAACUAAAAUCAACAACUAUCUACCUUCAACCCAAGGUCCAACACAAGGCUCGUGUUGGAUCAAAUUAAUCGGUUCAUAAUCAUCCUAAAACCUAAUAUGACCAUAUAGUCCAUAUGAGGAUGGAAUGCGUUCGUUAGUAGUUCCAUAUAGUCUCACUUAUUUCUUCGAAAUAGUGGGAGUAUUAUAAACUACUAAAUUCAUAUUAACUUGGACCAAUGGUUAUGAUAGGCCCAAGUUCUUUUAAUAAGAUUAAAAUGGUUUUGAUGUAGCCCAAAACUACUCCCUCGACAAACGAAUAUUAAGUUGAUAAGCGAGAGAUGUUUUGAACAUCUCUUUGUAGGCCUUCCACUGUGGUGGGCUCCAAUCGUUUGUGACUCAUGCACCGGCUUCACCCUAUCAUGGGGGAGUUCAAAGUAUGUGCUUACAUCCAGGAGGAGUCCAUAAACAUAUGAUGAGGUGAGUGUAGGCAACGAGGAUAGCCGACAUCGUAUCAUCGUGAGGCUAUUCUUGAACCCCUUCACAAACUAAGCAUGGUGGGAAUAACUUAAUCUAAGUGCAAUGGAGCCGACAUCGUAUCAUCGUGAGGCAACAUUCUCUAGAGGCCAAACGGAUGGGUAAUUACAAAAGGUUGCAAAUGAAUAAUGCGUUAUUCUCUCAUCAUUAUUUUUGCUAACCAACAUCGUAUCAUCGUGAGGUGGGCUUGGUAAUGGUGAGUCUCCCAUACCCCGCUAAGAGUUCAAUAUAACUCUCGAAUUCUAUUGAGGGAUGUGGAAUUUGCCAAAAAUAGUGGGUGGUACUAUUUGAUUCAAAGACCCAAUCAAAUAGUUUUAAAACAAACAAUCUAAUACGAUUUAUGUUAUGUUAUGUAGUUAAUGACAUGCCUAAAAAUAUACCCACCAUUAUACUUGACAAAAAGGGCCUUAAAGGCCAACGUUUCCUUGCUUGGUAUCGCCACAUUGAGAAUGUCUCAAAGGUGAAAGACAUAUUGUAUGUGCUUAAGCAAUCCCCUCCUCAUGUACCUCCUACGAUGUUGGAAAUGUGCCCUAAAUCCAAUCAUAUGAUGAUACUUUACGGACAUUUCACAUGUUAAACUAAUCUAGUUUAACUAUAAAAGGCAAAGAUUAUUGUUUGAGCCGUCUCAUAUAAAUGUUAUAUGCUUAAACGAUAAAGUCCAAGGAAUAUGUGAUUGGGAGAAUGUAAUCUAAUGAAGUUAGAUUCAUGAGACCAUUCUUUCGUAGACACAUCCUAAAUGUUCCUGAUCAUAGGAUUGCCAAUUGGGCAUUGACAGUCCGUCAAGAUCGGUACGUGCUAUGUCUUCUCUCAGGGAGAGUGACUAGUCUCGAGUCAUUGGUGUGUGUGACAUCAAGACAAGUACGUAAGUGCUCAGUAGAGUAUGAGUUCACUGAACGCGAUCAACGAAGAGUUCUCAUACUCAUGUCACAUGAGAACUCAUGGUUGGGAUAAUGCAAAGUAGUCCUUUGACCUGAGGCAUCACAGUUGUCUUGUGGUUAAGUCCUUGAUCUUUGAUUAUGUCAAACGUCAUUCCAUUGGAGUGUCCACGGCAUCGUUGGGGUUAAGCCACUUAGUCAUGAAGGCAAGUGAAUGCGCAACAAGGGAUCUCUAACCUUCAAACUGUUUGAGGGAGAAUACUCUAUGAUAUGAUUACGAAUCUUUGGCCAAAGUAUGAAUGAGAUUUAGGAAAACGUUCCAAAUCACAUUCAAGGUAAUCAUAUAAGCACACGAAUCACAUUGGAUAGUAGACAUGAAUAAAUAAACUAUCAAACCAAACAAUGUGGUCAAGAGUAUUGUAUUAGAGAAAGACCGUAUUGCAUUUGUGAUCCCAAACUGAAUAGGUUUUCUCUACCUCUUCUGAUUAGCUUGGGUAACCAUGAUAUGCUGCAAGGUGUCACUCAUGGUUUGUGGAAGCCCUAAAUGUGUGUAAUCACUAAAGGGAGAAUUGAAAGUAAGUUUCAAUUCAUAAUCGAUGUAAAAUGGUUUUAAUCGCCCACUGCCUCGCUAAAAGGAACCUAAUGGAUCGCACACCGUGUAAGGAGGAGAUUGAAGAAACAAUGGAGAUGAGUAUGAAUGAUUAAAUGGUUUAAUCAUUUAUUUAUGGCAAGGAUUAAUUAAUAUGUUAAUUAAUCAAACGAAUAAGUUCGUUAAAGACCUCGGGAUAGUUUUGGACCUUAAGGCCCAAUGGGCUUCGAACGUCAAGCCCAUUAACUUAAGUUGUAUGACAACUUAAUGAAUAAUGAUUCACAAAGGCCCAAACAACCCAAAAAUACCCCAAGGCCGGCCAUGAUGUUUAGGGUAGUGAACUUGGACUUAUUUACAAGUUUGCCACUCAAAUGAAUAAAGGUAUAAAUAUGACUUUAUAGCCAAAAUUCAUUAGGGUUUGUUUUGGAGAAAAUUGGUGAGAACUUGUCUCUCCAUUUCUCUCUAAAGAGGCCGGCCACCUUGGGGGUGCAUCUUGCAAUCCCACUACUCCAAGGUCACUCAUUUCUUCUCCAAUCUCUCCUUGGUGAAGAGACUUAGAGGUUCUCAAUUUUGGGAACUUGGAGAAACCUAUUCUUCCAUCCAAAUCCAUAGAUUUAAGAUGCAAGGAAUGAAGGCCCUCUCUUUGGGUGAUUAGCCUUUGCUUAUGCAAAGAGGAAUCUACAAAGGUAUAAAUUUCAACUCACUAUGUUUUGAGUUGAGUUUUGGUUCACCAAUCUACUAGGCUUUGAAUUUCAUGGUUAAUGUUUUGUUUUUAAGUGCAUGCAACCAUGAUUCCGCCUUUAAUUGUUAAUUGCAUGCUUAUUGAUGUUGCUUAAAUGAACAUGUUUUCACAAAAUAAUCCUUCAUACGAAACUAGCUUCAAAGGAGGAGUGUCAAAAAUAUGUUAGACACUAUGAGGAUGACCUACAAGCCAAAUGCUUAAUCCUCACUUCACUUAGUGAGGAGCUUAUGAAGCUACAUAAGCACAUGGAUACUUCUUGUGCCAUGGUUGAAAGUUUGCAUAAGAUGCAUGACAAUGAGACUAGUAAUGUACGAUUCUCAAAUGUUUGUAGUCUAAUGAAUGCCAAAAUGGCAAAGGGGACAUCGGUCCAUAAACAUGGACAAAAGAUGGAAAAGAUAUUUAAAGAUCUUAAAAGUUUAGGAACUUCCAUCGAUGGGAAAAUGGCCCAAGACUUUUUCCUUGCAUCUUUCUCGGAUGAUUUCACUAAGUUUAUUGUAAACUAUAAAGUGAAUAGAUUCGAUCAUGCUUUAAACGAGAUGAUUGACAUGUGCUGUAAAUUUGAAAAAGGUUUCAAAAGGGACAGUGGGAGUGAGAAUGCAAUCACAAGGAAAAGGUUGCAUAAGAAGAAGGCAAAGAAAUCCAAAGGAACAUGCUUUCAUUGUGGAAAGGAUGAACGUUGGAAGAAGAAAUACAGGGUGCGCAUUGCGAGCCUUAUGACACGAACUUUUGAAGAGACUAUUUCUGUCAUAGAGAGUGCUUUUACAGUGAGCUCCAAUUCCUGGAUAUUUGAUUCAGGCGCUAGUCAACAUAUCUGUAAUACGAUGCAGGGACUAGUGGGGAGCAAGUCACUGCGCAAUGGGGAGAUGGUUGUGCGAGUUGGGAACCGCACUAAAAUCUCUGCAAAAGCAAUAGGCACCUACAUUCUUAACCUACCCUCUGGGGAAGUCCUGGAACUUAAAAAUUGUUUAUAUUUACCUUCAUGUAUAAAGAAUUUGAUUUCCAUCUCUAAGCUUUUACGAGAUGGGCACUCAGUAUUGUUUGACAAAAUGAGUUGCACUUUAUACUUGAACGGUCGUAUUAUCUCUCAUGGUAAUAUGAUAGAGGGACUUUUUCACCUAAAGACGAAUAGUGGGAUGCACUGUAUUGCAGGCGGGAAUACCUCAAAACCCAAAAGGGCUAGAGAAGAAGUUAACCAAGAAAAUAUGUGGCAUCUUAAACUUGGACAUGUGAACCUUGAUAAGAUUCACAAGAUGUCGAAAGACGGAUAUAUCCGCCCAUUAGGUAAUGACCAAAUGGGUACUUGUGAAUGUUGCUUGAAAGGGAAGAUGACUAAAUCUCCAUUUACUGGAAAGAGAGAGUGUGCCAUUGAAAUUCUAGGGUUAAUCCACACUGACGUAUGUGGACCUAUGUCUACUACGUCGAGAGGAGGCUUCUCCUACUAUAUCAUAUUCACCGACGAUCACUCUCGGUUUGGCUAUGUGUAUCUUAUGAAGUACAAGUCAGAAUCCUUUGAAAGGUUCAAGGAAUUCAAGAAUGAAGUUGAGAAGCAAACUGGGAAACAGAUAAAGAUCCUAAGAUCGGAUCGAGGGGGUGAAUAUCUGAGUAAUGAGUUCCUAGAUUAUCUCAAAGAGUGUGGAAUAAUAUCAUAGUGGACUCCACCGGGAACUCCACAACUUAAUGGAGUUUCUGAAAGGAGAAAUCGAACCUUGAUGAACAUGGUUCGUUCUAUGAUGAGUUCCGUUGAUCUACCAGUAACAUUCUGGGGAUACGCUCUAUAUACAACAGCUUACUUGCUUAAUAGAGUACCUUCCAAGUCAGUUUCACAAACGCCCUAUGAGAUAUGGCAUGGAAGAAAGCCAAGUUUUAAUCAUGUUAAGAUUUGGGGUUGUGAAGCAUAUGUCAAGAAGCUUGAAGCUACUAAGCUUGAAGCGAGAUCAGUAAGGUGCUAUUUUGUGGGAUAUCCUAGAGAAACUAUGGGAUAUGAGUUCUACCAUCCAGACGACCAGAAAGUCUUUGUCGCCAGAAUGCUAAGUUUCUAGAGGACAAAUUUGUUCUCAAAAGAACUAUAAGCAAAGAGAUGGAAAUUAAUGAGAUUAAUAAUGAACCACAAACAAGCACUCGACAAGUUGACAACCCUGUUCCUGAACCCCUAGCUCCACGUAAAUCUGAACGGGUUAGUAAGCCACCUAAGAGGUAUGGCUUAGACAAUGACUUUGCGGAAUUGCACCUUCUAGGUGACAAUGACACAAAGGAGGACCCUAGGGACUACACUGAAGCAAUGUCCGACAUUGAUUCAAAGAGAUGGCAAGAGGCCAUGAAAUCCGAGAUGGAUUCCAUGUAUCAAAAUUAGGUCUGGACUCUUGUAGACCCUCCAGAAGGUAUUGUACCUGUUGGAAACAAAUGGGUCUUCAAGAGGAAGAUAGGCGUUGAUGGGAACGUGGAGACUUAUAAGGCUAGACUCGUAGCCAAGGGUUACAGGCAAAGAGAAGGGAUUGACUAUGAAGAAACUUUCUCUCCUGUAGCCAUGAUUAAGUCCAUUCGGAUUUUGCUUGCUAUAGCUGCGUACCAUGAUUAUGAGAUAUGGCAAAUGGACGUGAAGACGGCCUUUCUGAACGGCUACCUAGAGAAAGAGCUCUAUAUGACUCAACCAGAAGGUUUCAUGUCCAAGUCUGAAAAGACUAAGGUAUGCAAGCUUCAAAGGUCCAUUUAUGGACUUAAGCAAGCCUCCAGGAGCUGGAACAUUCGUUUCGACACUGAAAUCAAAACGUUUGGUUUUACUCAAAACGAAGACGACAAUUGUGUUUAUCAAAAGGUCGUUGGGGAAGCAGUAGUAUUCCUAGUGUUAUAUGUAGAUGACAUAUUACUAUUCGGGAAUGACACUGCAAUACUUUCUUCUGUAAAAGUGUGGUUGUCCAAAACCUUCCACAUGAAAGAUUUAGGAGAUGCAUUUUAUGUACUUGGGAUAAAGCUCUAUCGUGAUAGAUCCAGAAAAUUAAUUGGAUUAUCCCAAUCUAUGUACAUUGAUAAGGUGCUAAGUAGGUUCCAGAUGGAACAAUCUAAGAAAGGUUUUCUUCCUGUUAGACAUGGAAUUCACUUUUCUAAGUCCAUGGAACCUAAGACUCCUGAAGAGAUACGGCAAAUGAAUAUGAUUCCUUAUGCUUCCGCUAUAGGGAGUUUCAUGUAUGCCAUGAUAUGCACAAGGCCUGAUAUUGCAUAUGCUGUGAGCAUUACUAGUCGAUAUCAAUCUAACCCAGGACCAGAACACUGGGCAGCUGUCAAGACGGUCCUUAAGUACUUAAGAAGAACUAAGGACAUGUUCCUCGUAUAUGGAGGAGCAGCAGAGUUGCGAGUGGAAGCCUAUACAGACGCAGAUUUCCAAUCUGACGUCGAUGAUAGAAGUUCCAACUCCGGAUAUGUAUUCACUCUGAAUGGUAGGGCUGUCAGUUGGAAGAGCAAGAAACAGAGUGUAAUUGCUGAUUCCACAACAGAGGCUGAAUAUGUCGCUGUAGCUGAAUGAAGGGAAAUUUAUGAGUUUCAUGUGGGAUUUCUAGAUGACUAGCAUGCAUAUACAAUUCAACAAUAUAUAUACAUGAGCAACGGAAGCAUGUUAUCAAAUAAAAUCAAAGCUAUAGUCAUGCAAAUCCCCUUCAAGGUUCAUAGGUUUAUAUAUAAUGCAUCAAAACAUUUUAAAGAAUCAAGAACAAAGUCAAGGAAUAGAUCUAUACCUCUUGAUCUUGAUUUUAGACCAAGGAUGGACCACCUCCAAUCUCUUUGCUCCUUGAAAUCCUUGAGCCUAGCUUCCCUCCUUGCCUCCUCCACUUUGAAAGAAUGAGUGCUCCUAGGUUCUCUUCAAGUUUCCAAAGUAGGAAACCUCUAAAGAUCCUCACCCACUAGUGUAAUGAGAAGGAUGAAGGAAUAACCAAAAGGGUGAAAGAUUGUUAGCUCUUUUUCCCUUAAGGUGGCCGGCCCUUGUGAGUAUUUGAGAGAGUUUUCUUUAGCCUCUUUUUAGUUCUAAACACACAAAAAAAAACCCUUAAGAAACAUUUGCUAUAAAGUUCCUUUUAUAGACAAAAGAAACCUAGUCAACAACUUGACUAUUCUUCUCUCCUAAACACCUAAUAUGGCCGGCCCUCUUUGUGUUGUUUGGGCUUUGGGCUUUCAUUUAUUUCAAGUCAUCCAAUGCUUGAAUAAAAGCCCAAUGGGUUUGGGCCCAAUGGGUUUGGGCCCAAUGGACCCAAUUAAACCCGAACGUUUCUUUAAGCCCAAAACGAUCUUUAUCGCUUUUAUGAUUUCUUUAGACUUUUCUAAAUUAAUCACAACACAUAAUUAAUCCAAUUAAUUGUUUCCAUCAUCCAUUAAUUACUCACUACAAUAGUGUAUUGGUGAACAAUCUUUUAGGUUCUAAUUAGCAAGGCAGUGAGGUGAUUGGCACUAAUCCAAUUAAUUCAAUCACUUAGUGAAUUGAAACUUCAUUUCAAUUCACCAUUCUUCUUUGAUGACUACAUUUAAUCAUCUAGAAGAACUCACAAGCUAUGAUUGACAUCUAACCAUAUGUCAUAGCUACCCAAGCUAAUGUAGAAGUUUUAUUCAGAGAACCUAUUCAGUUAGAAUUACAAUGUAAUUCGAUCCUUCUCUAAUACAAUACUCUCAAUCACAUCAUUAGGGUAUGGAUGUAUUAUGUCAAACCCCUAAUGUGAUUAUUCCUUCUUAUAUGAUUCAUUUGAGUCGUAUAGGAACGCAUUCCUUUUAAUACGCUCGAUACUUCGGCCGAAGAUUCCCGAAUCAUAUCUUAGAGCAUUCUUCCUAUCUUAUUGAGGAUUAGAGAUUCCUUGUUGCGCAUACACUUGCCUUCAUGACUAAGUGGCUUAACCCCAAUCAUGCCGUGGACACCCUCGAAUGGGGAGACUUUGACAUAAUCAAAGAUUAAAUACUUAGCCACAAGACAACGACGAUGCCUCAGGUCUAAGGACUACUUACAUUAUUCCAACCAUUAGAGUUACUUGCUUGACAUAUGAGUAGACCUCCAUGCAAGUACUCUCGUUCGAUUGUGUUCAGUGAACUCAUUCCCCUAAUGAGCACCUACAUACUUGUCUUAGUGUCACAACACGAAUGGGAUGAGACUUUCCAUCCUUCCAUUUGAAGCAGACACAGUAUGUACCAGUCUACGCAUUGUCAGUAUCCCUCCGACAAUCCAAUGACUAGGAACCUUUUGGACAUUUGGUUAUGUGAAGAAGGUCUCUGUAAUCUAACAUCAUUAGAUUACUUCUUCAAUCAAUCUAUUGUCCAUGGAUACACUAUUUAGGACAUAUAUCGUUCAUUGAGAUAGUCUUAAUUCGUGUUUUUGCCUUUGAUGUAUAAGAUUCAUCCAUACAUCCAUUCAUUUGUCCUGAAAGAUUUCUUCUAAAGAUUGACUUUCAGGGCAUAUUUCCAACACUGAAGCCGGCAAAGAAGCGUUCUGGAUGAAGAAGUUCAUCACUGAACUUGGAGUGGUUCCAACCAUUACAUCACCAGUAACUUUGUACUGUGAUAAUAGUGGGGCGAUAGCUCAAGCCAAGGAACCCAGGGCUCAUCAAAAGAACAAGCAUUUUGACAGGCGCUUUAAUAUCAUUAGAAGAUAUGCUGCCGAGGGGAAAGUUAACAUCCUCAAAGUUGCCUCAGCCGAUAACGUAGCAGAUCCACUGAUGAAGCGAAUGUCUCAAAUCCAACUUGACCGCCAUAUGGAAAAGAUGGGUAUUAGAUACAUGUGAGGAUGACUUUGAGUGGAAGUGGGAGAUUGUUGGAAUUAUGCCCACAAAGCCACUCAUUUGAUGUAAUAGCUUUUUGGAAUACUUAAUGUAUUAAACUUUUAUAUGUUUAAUGAAGGACAAAGCUUAUUGAUGAUCACUAUUUAUUGUAUCAUGUGUUUAAGUAAUAAGGGAAUCCAAGGGACGUAUUUGAUCUAAGAGACAAGUGAUCUAAGUGAGUUAGAUUAUCGAGACCAUUCUCUUAUGUUCAUUCCUAAAACGUUCCUAGCCAUAGGAUUGCCAAUUGGGUAUUGACAAUCCGCUAAGGUUAGUAUGUGUUAUGUCGACUCAAGCUUGAGUAUGACUAGUCUCAAGUCAUUUGGUGUUGGACACUAAGACAAACACAUAGGUGCUCGAAAGAGUAAUCGAGUACACUGAACAACGAUCGGAAGAGAGUUCGAACAUACAUGUUAUGUAAGAACUCGAAAGUUGCAAUAUGCAAAGUAGUCCUUUGACCUGAGGCAUCAUAGAUGUCUAAUGGUUAGGUCCUUGAUCUUUGAUCAUGUCAACGGCAUUCCAUCGGAGUGUCCACAACAUUGUUGGGGUCAAGCUAUCUAGUCAUGUAGGCAUAUGAAUGCACAACAAGGGAUCUCUAACCUUCCAUGGUGGAAGGAGAAUACUCUAAGAUAUGAUUCGUGAGUCUUUGGCCAAAGCAAAUGAAUAUAACUUUGGAAGUUUGUUCCAAUUCAUAUUCAAAGGAAUCAUAUAGAAAAGUAUCACAUUGGAUAGUAGACAUGAAACAAACUAUCACUUAAACAAUGUGAUUAAGAGUAUUGUAUUAGAGAAGGACCGUAUUGCAUUGUAGUUGUAACUGGAUAGGUUCUCCAACCAAUUCUACUUAGCUUGGGUAACCAUGACAUACUACUAGGUGUCACUCAUGGUUUGUGGAAGCCCUAAUGACUAGCAAACACUGAUCAUAAAGGGAGAAUUGAAAUGUGGUUUCAAUUCACAAUCGAUCGUUAAGAGUAACAAUCGCCCACUACCUCGCUAAUUAGAACCUAAUGGAUCGUACACCGAGUAAGGGCGAUAGUGAAGAAAUUAAAUGAAAUGGAUAUGCAAUUAAAUGGUUUAAUUGAAGAAUGGUCAAGAUUAAUUAAUUAGUUAAUUAAUUAUACGAAAGGUUCGUAUUGGGCUUUUAAGUUGGUUUUGGGUUUCGGGGCCUAAAAGUGUUUUGGUCCAUAAGGCCCAUUAUGUUUAAGUUGUAUGACAACUAAAACAAAAUGGGCAAUAAGCCCAAUCACAACAUAUAGGCCGGCCAUGGUGAGGAGAUGGUGAAAGUUUGCUUAAUUGCAAGUUUGCCACUCACCAAAGAAAAGUGUUAUAAAAGCAACUUUAUAGCUAUUUUCUCAUUAAGGGUUUUCUUUGAGGCAAAGAGGUGAAACAUUUUCUCUCUUUCUCUCUACAAAGAGGCCGACCACUUAGGGAGAUUAAUCUAGCAAUCUCUUCUUCCCUAAGUCAUCCAUUUCAUCUUCACACUUAACCCUUGGUGUGGAGACUUAGAGACAUCAAACUUUUGGUGUUUUGGAGAACAAAUCCUCAAAUCCUCAAAGAAGCAAAGGAGCACUAAAAGGAGGAAAAUCAGAAGGAAUAUCCAAGGAGCUUGGAAGUGACUUGAAGGCCCUCCACUUGGGUGAAUCCCUUGUGUAAACAAGGAUAAGCUUCAAGGGUAAAGAAAUUCUAAAUCUUUACUUCUCUUUAAUGUUGUUAAAGAGUUUAUUGGUUCACCAUAUACUAGGCUUUGAAAGUCAUGGGUUUUAUGAAUUGUUUUUGAAUGCAUGCCUACUUUAAAGUGUUAAUAGUUUGCAUAAGUAUUCAAAUGUUCUUACUUGUUAUUAGCUAGGACAAAUUUUUUCCUUCAUAUUGCCAUAUAGGUCAUAGUAGUGACUCCGGCUAGAUUGAGUUUGAGCUAUGAAUUCAGCUGUACAGACUACCACAAGGGUUCCGGCUAACGUAUUAUAUUUCUAUGAAAUCAUUCUUACCUGAAUUGUUUACUUUGUUAUAUCUUGGCAUGGCAUGCAUAAGUUUAUGAUUAUGUGAAGCAUGAAAUGAUUUGAUACGCGUUCAUAUAUAUAUUUAUGUAUAUGCUUAUAUCUAUUUUCUGGGAAAGUAACCAUAUACUUGUUUUACAGAGAGGGGUUAUUAUAUUUAAAGGAAAAUAAGGUUUUCAUAUAAAUGUGUUUUACUGACCCACUCAACUUUGUUUUUGCCCCUCCAGGUCUUAGAUAGCAGAGUUUGGUGGCCAAGAGGACUCCAACGGUGUUCUGACAGAAUCCGAAAAAGUAGGAUUCACCUUUGGGUGUUGUAUUUUAGCAAUCAUCCUACUCGAUUGCAACUAGAAACUCUUAUUGCUCUGAAAGUGUAUUUAUCCACUUAAACUCUCAUUGGCAUCCUUUCUUAAUUGGGAUUGUUAGUUAAUAGGUUUUAAAUUGUUAGUAUUUCUCUUUCUCUUUAUCGCUUCCGCUUUGCGCUCAUGGCUACGUCACUCUCACGUGACGGCCAGCACGUCUCGACUCCGGUCGGGGUGUGUCAGUAAAUCUCUAGGGUUUUGUGUUUAGAAAUCUUAUAAAGAAUUAAAGAUCCAUAAUCAGUAUAAGUAUUUUACUAAUAUGAUUAUAACAACACAAAGCUUGUUGUCAAGUUGGCUGAAGCAAGCACUCUCAACCUGGAGGUAAGAGGUUUGAAACAGUUGGCCUCUAGAUUUUAAGUAUUUGUUACAAAUUUAUAUAAUUAAUAUAUAUUAAAUAAUUAAAUAAAUAAAUAAAAAUUGGUUCGGUCCAGUCCAAUUUCUGGACCACCAAAACUGAAAUCGAACCAACCUAUUUCGGUUCGGUUUGGUUCACUUAGUUCAGUUCGAUUUUUUUUGGCUUCAGUUCGAUGUUUGACUAGAUUUUUUUUCGGUUUUUGAUUUUUUAAACCCACCCCUAGGUGUAGUGCCAUGAGCAACACGAUUUCUUUUCCAUGUAUGGUUGAUAAUUAUAUGGGUUGUUUAGAUAUAAGCCCAUACAAUCAUAUACCUCGGAUAAAAACCCACCUAUGAAUAAACAUCUAAUAAAAAUCCAAAAUUUAAAUAAAUUGCCACAUAAAAAAAUAAGUAACCUAUUAAUAUAAGUUAUUUACAAUGUAUGCCACAACUUUCUAUAACCGUUCUCAUACAACCAUUAUUAGUCAACCAUUAUGGAUAACGUUUUUAACAUUUCUUUUAUUUGUCAAAUAAUGAAUUAUUAUAAUGCACUACCAUAUGUCCUAACUAUAUGACUUUAGAUAAAUUAUUUUGUGAAUACAAAAACAUAUAUAUAGUAAAAUAAAAUAGAAGAUACAUUUUUUGAAAAGUUAAAUUGCAGGUAAAUUAUAUUCAUAUAUAUAUAUAUAUUAUAUAUAUAUAUAUAUAAAUAUAUAAAUUGUAGAUACACCGUUGUUGUAAAAAAAGGGAAAUUUUUUAAUAUAAAAUUGUAUAGACAUUAUUGUCACAAUAGGUAAAUUAGUUUCAUAUAAAAUUAAAAAGUAGGUAAAUUAUAUUCAUACAAAAAUAAAAUUGUGGAUACGUUAUUGUUAAGUAAGAACAGGUAAAUUUUUAUCCUAAAAUUUGAACAAUAAAUAAAUUAUUUUUGUACAUACAUUAAUUUUUUAAAAAUUAAACAAUAGGUACAUCAUUAGCUUCACAAAUUAUACACAGUAGGCAAGUUAUUUUUGCUAAAACUAAACAAUAAUUAAAUUAUUUUUGAAGAUACAUUAAUGUUGUAAAAUUAAAUAAUGUUGUAGUCCUAUUAGAUUAGGAAUGUGAUUGUGUAAAUCCUAGUGUAUAUAGAAUAUCUUGGAAUAUUCUCCUUUGUAGAUAUUAUCCUAUUAAAGUUGUAAUCCUAUUAGGGUAAGGAUUUAACCUAUCCUACUACUAUAAAUAAAGGCACAAUGGGGUGAUACAACACACACCUCAGAAUUACAUCUCUCUCAUCUCUCUCUCUUGCCGUUGGCCCUCUCCUUCUCUAGUCCUAAAUACAGUUCAGUCAAUUAGGCAUACAACACGUUAUCAGCACGCUAUUUCCAGAAGCUAAGGAACUCAAGGAUCAUAGGAGGAGGCUCUUCUACAUAAUCAAAGGCUUAAUCGUUUUUUGCGAAUGAGGUUCUUUUAAAAUAAAUUAAGAUAUUUGAACGACCUUGAAUGUGACAGCCCGUCCCGCAUUAAUGUUCUCGUAAGUGUAAGGUUAAUGUAUUAUCCUUAAGCGUUUUAAAGACUUAGAACUUUAGGGUUUGUUUAGUGCCUUAAAUUUUUGUUAAAGUUGGACGGUUUGUAUGUUAGUGUUUGAAUUAUUGUAACCUUUGUACUGUGCAUACACGGGUUACACAUUUCUCCCCCUUUUUCAUUGUUCUCCCGGGAUUCCCUCAAUCAUACUCCCUCUUUCCCUCAGUCCUGCUCCCUCAAACUCAUCCUCAUUCUCUCUCUCCCGACAAGCUCUCUCUCACUCCCUCUCCCUUUCUACACUCACGGCAAAACAACAAGACUCUCAAAAAUUUCACAGAUCGAAGAAAAUAAAACCACAAUCGUCUUCGUCUCGACGAUACGAGUCCAACCAUACCUAUUUCAGGUAAGAUCUCUAACGUUUUCACGUCGAAAUCACGAGCACCGAUUUGGGUACUAUUCAUCAACUUUUUAUUGGUUGAUUUUUAGGACUUUUCAAGCUUAUAGGAAGCUUCUUGAGGUCCUUAGGAGGCUCGGGGUAGUUCGUUGGAAGUUUUUGGACGUAAGAACACGGAGAUCGACAAGUUCAAAGUUUGGCCGGAGAUUUCGAGGCUUUUUCCGGCAAAUCCCCAGCGAUUUAGGGGUCAAGGUAGGUAUGAAUGUGUUCGUCUCAUCAAUAUCUUCAUUUUGAUAUAAAGUACUUUGAAAAUGGUGAAGAAAUGAAGAAGUUAUGACGUUUUGAAAAAUACCCAGAAAUUCCGGCAAAACCCCGCCGCCGGCGAAACCAGUCUGGCGACCCAAGGAAGAAGACGACGCGCGUGCGUGGGCCGAGCUGUUGGUGGCGCGUGAGGGCGCGUGCGGUGUCCAAAUCGGGUUCUAAAAAUUGCUACGUGUAGGUCACGGUGGUAUAUUCACAUACCCAAAUUGAGCAAUAUAUGAGAAGUUAUUAGCGAAUGUUGUGUAUGUGCUUUUAAAUGAUGUUUGUAUAAUUAUUCUUUUAUAGGUGAGACUUAUACCGAGGAGGAAAGUAACCAAACUAGGCGUGGGGGUUACGAACCGGCUACUUAUCAGUGAGUGGGCAGUUAUUUUUCAGUAUAUAUAUAUGUAUGCUUGACGUUUUUCCCAGAAAACGUAUUUAAAGGAAAUGUGAUUUAAUUAUCCUGUCAUAUAUGCAUCAUAUUUUAGUAUGUGCAUUAUUAUAAUUAUGCAUAUUGUUGCAUGGUGCUGAGGAGGCCCAGGUAAGCUACAUGUGAGUAUAUUAUGCUAGUAACGAUUAUGAGAUACGAUGUUGGUUAUGAUUGAGAUAUAAUGAAUUAUAUGAUUGAGAUAUGAUUGAGAGCUCAUUCACUUGCACACGUAUAUUAGUGCUCCCGCCCAGAGUUAGGGGCACAGUCUUUCACGUGAUGUUCACCUCCCGCACCGCAUGCUCGCCUUGGAUCCAAGUUAGGUGCACAAUCCUGUCGUAUAGACACUUUUAGUGGGUUCGACUCGUAGGUGACCCACGAUUUAUCGCACAGUCUUCACGUGAUUGUAGCACUAGAGCAUAUUAUGUUAUAUACAGUGAUGAAUUGCAGACCAUGUGAGGUGGUAUUGAAUGUGUGCAAGAUAUACAUAUAUAUACAUGAUGUGAUGAGAUGAUUAUGAGCUAUAUGUGCAGCUGAAGGCUGAGUUGAUUAUAAUGAAAGAGUAUGAACUAUGUUUAUAGCCGAGUGCUGAAUUGAUUAUAUGUUAUUCCAUCAUAUUCACUUAGAGAUAACGAGCAUUCAGUUAUGAUACUUUGGCAUGACAUACAUUCAUAUUGUCUAGCAUGAUUUGAGAUAUAGUACGUAUAUGAAUAUAUACUUUAUUUCUGGGAAACUAUACUUGUUUUACGGCGAGGGGUUAGUAUAUUCAAAGAGAAAAUAAGGUUUUGAAGAAGUUUGUUUUGCUGACCCAGUCAACUUUGUUUUGCGCCCCUCCAGGUUCUAGGUAGCGUUUGUUGUUGGAUCUCGAGGUUUCCAGCUGAAGUUCUGACAAACCAUCACUCAUGUAGGAUUAUCUUCGAGUGUUGUAAAUUAGUACAUCUUAUGUUCGACUGCACUUAGACCUUGUGCUCUGGUUGUGUAUUCACACUUAAACUUAUCUUAUAACCUAUGGUAUUUGGUUUUAAAUUAUUCGUACUUUCCUUAAAAUAUCGCUUCCGCACUGCGCACAUGGCUACGUCACGCUCACGUGACGGCCAGCAUGCCUUGACUUUGGUCAGGGUGUGUCAGUUUGGUAUCAGAGCCCUAGGUUGCAGUCCUGCAUAUUUUGUGAACUUCCUUAAUUAUUUUUGGUAUCUUCUGUCAGAACUAUGCCGCCUCAUAGAGAUCCACGUACUUCUUCUGAGCCUGGUUUUCCCGAUAUCACUCAGUUAGGGGAAGCCAUAGCCAAUGCCAUUCAAGCUUCACUUCGCCCUUUUCAGAAAACUCCUUUAGAGGCAGUGUACAAUUUGAAAUUACCUACUUUUAUGGGUAAUGAAGGACAUGAAGGGGCCGAGCGAUGGCUUGAGCAUGUAGAGAAGACUUUUCGGGUUAUGCAGAGUCAAGGCAAUCUCCUUGCUGAAAGGUGGGUUGAGACUACCACUUGGUUUUUGGGUAAAGAGACUGCAUCUUGGUGGGAACAAGAAUCUCGUGGAUGGUUGCCUGAAGAGGUAGCAAAUUGGAAGAAUUUUAAGGAUUCGUUCUAUAAGAUGUUUAUUCCUCCAGCCUAUCUUGACCGAAAGAAGCAGGAAUUCAUCAGUUUGAAGCAAAGAAAGAUGUAUGCUAAUGAGUACUAUCGGAAAUUUACCGAUUUGUCUCGAUAUGAUUCUGAAAUUGCUGCUAAUCCUGUUGAGAUGCUCAGACGUUUCAAGAGGGGUACUAAAAAGAAGUGGCGUUCCAUGGCUACUAUUGCAAGCUGUACCACUUAUCAGGAGUUUUAUGAGGUUCUGUUGAACAUUGAGGAUUCAGAAAAUUUACCCAGUGACAGUGAAGAAGAAGAAAAAGAUAAGAAUCAAAAGAGAAAUGAUAAGGGUAAAGGUCAGUUUUCUCAAGAACCUAAGAAAGCACAAAGUUUCAAAAGAAGUGGUAUGGGCUCGAGUUCUUCUAGUGGAGGUUUUGGUUUCUCAGAUCAAAGGCGUGGAGGUAGAUUUUAUGGAGGCCCUAAAUUCCAGAGACAGAGAGGUUUUGGUGGUUCUGGAGGUUCAACUGCUCCUCUUUGCCGUAGGUGCAAUAAUCGACACUUUGGAGAAUGUCGUCGAGGUAGCAGUGGGUGUUAUACUUGUGGUCAGAUGGGGCAUAUGGCUAAGUACUGUCCCCAAAGCCAGUAGAGACCUCAACAACCUUUCAUACCACAGCCAGCUCCGACUCAACAGCCUUUUGUGUUUUGCUGCACACGCACGACACCUAGCCUUCAGCCUAGUAGGGUUUUUUAUAGGCAUGCAACCUCAACCCACUUCCAAGGGGCCUGCAACUCUCAAUAAACUUGUCCAAUGCGUCUCUGGCCUACAGACCAAUAACCUUAUGUUCUUGGGCCUCGUCCCUUGCCCUAGGCUCAUUUCCAGCAAGCCUGCGUUGCUUGCUAGGCUUUGCCAACCCUCAGCCUAACCUGCCAACAACUUUAGAGCUGCUGAGCUUAUACUGUUGUAGACAUGAAAAUUUUUUUACAUACAAAUAAUGCAUCACAAAGCUUCACGCGGUGUAUGACUCAUCACAAAUGAACAAGUCAUCAAUGACAUUUGGCACAAAUUAAGCAAAGGAAGUACAAAACCUUCCUAAAAGUCGGCUAAAGGGAGAAAAUCCCUUUCAAAAUCGGCAAGGGGUCCAAGUUGCUCCCAAAAUCAGAAAGAAAGUUAAAGCAUCUUCAUAAAACAAGCAAGAAUUGAAGAUUGUUCACAAAAUAGGUAGUAAGCCCUAUAAUUCGGCCAAGGUAAGGGAAAGUGGCUGAAAUUAAGACACAAAACAUGCCUAAAUUCUCCCAUGGACGAAUCAAGACACAAAUCAAAGCCAAAUCCAUCCAAGGGCAAGCUUUAAGAAGUCUAUAAAUACAAGGUCCUUAGACAAGUAAAAAGGUCGGCAAUUUUCUACAUUGAAGGGGUCAACAAUUUCUACAUUCAAGGUGGACCAUUUCUACAUUCAAGGGGGAUCAUUUCUACAUUGACGGGCCGAAAUUCUCACAAAAGGAGAACCUCUGCCAAAUCUUUGAAGACUAAUACGUUGCCAAAGCUCUAUUCGAAGAACGCACAACCAAAGCCGAAGCACUCCAUUGAAGAAUCAACAAGAACUCGUGCUGAUUCCUUCAAGACUUUAUUGCAAGCUCAAAACUUGUAAUGAUGUUCGAUUCAAGAUCAAGUUGCCAAGACCCUUGAAUCAACAAAAUCCUACAUCAACACUACCUUUGCUACAACUUUAAGGUGAAGACCAUCCAAGCAUCGUUUCAAGCUCAAAACUUGAAGCAAUUUUUCAAUCGUUUGUCCGAGAUCAAGUCAUCAUGACCCUUGGAUCAAUGAUAGACGCAUAUUUAUGCGACUUAGUUAACUAGUUUUCUUGCAUUUACGUUAUUAGUUCUUAGUUAUUUUAGUACUUUAAGCCAUUUUCGUGUGUUUGUAGGUCCAAAGGGUUAAGGUAGCAAGAAAGUGCAUUUUGGUGCAUUUUGGAGCAGUUUUGAGCUUGGAAUGGAUUACUUAUGAUAUGAGCAAGAUGGAUGGACGAAUUUGAAGAAAAAAAGAGGCUAGGAACAUGCUAAAAAUCUGGUGAAUCAAAUACAAGUUGCAAGAAGGGAUAAAUUUCUAGAAGGAUUGGCCAAAACUUCACUCAAAACCAUGCAUACCCCAUAAAAUUCAUCAAUGCCGUGGCCUUCCCUUUGUUUUACUUCCACCAGAUUUUUUAGUGAUGAUGCAAUGCCUAUCUCACUAUGACAUUUGAGUGGAUGAUGCAAUGCUUAACUCACCAUGACAUGUGAGUGGAUGACUCAAAACCUACCCUCACCAACAAUUCUCCACCUUGCCAUGCCUUACCUACUUCAUUCCACCAGAUUUUUGCAUUAAACAUGUCCAUCCUCUUCCUAUAAAUACCAUGGCAGCAACCUCAUUCAAAUCAUCCAGAAAUUAACCAUUCUCCAAGCCUUUCCUUGCCUCUCCUACAUAUCUAAACCCCUUCCCAUCCAUUCCUCCAAAUAACCAACCCUUCAACAUCAUUCCAACCUUGUUGUUGCGGCAAGGAGUAGGAGAAAAGUCCUUGGACGCACUUGCUAUCCAACAUGGAUCGUUGGAACGUUUAGGUGCUUUCUUCCCUUUUGUUUUUCAAUGUUUAAAUUUGUUUAUCUUUGUUUUGUAAUAAUGAGGAACUAAACCCCCCUUGGCUAGGGGGGGAUUCGAAAUACAUGUUUAUGCUUGCGUUAUGAUUUGAUUACUUCUAAUUGCGUUUCAUAAGUUGUGAAUUCAAUUUACUUAUCUAUGUGAAUUACAUUGAUUUGUGUGUGUUGGUUGAGAGUGCACGCUUAAUUAUCAUGCAUAAAUUGAAUGCUAGGAUAUAAGGAAAUUUCACCUAAUCGUUAUGGAAUUAUAUUCACAAGUAGUAAAGGUUGAUGAUCUCAAUCGCGUUAAGUAAAUUCUUGGCAUAAGUUUCAUGCAAUCAUAGUAACAAGUGCUUCGUUAAUGCUUAUGGUUUUCAUAGAAUUUAAUGAUUCUUGCUUGUAUCUCUAUUAUGCAAUCAUGUAGGGGACUUGUGGUGAAUGUUUUGGGUUGUCGUAUGCAAUCAUCCAAUUCAAUAACGUUAGGAAAAUCUGAAGGUUAAUUUAAGCGGACCUAAUUAACUUGGGGCGUUGAGAAUUCAUGGUUUAUUGAAAUGCAAUUGGAAAUCGUUUUGUAUGCAAGUAUAACAUGUGUGGAGAUGAAACCCUUAGCUAGCCUUCCAUUAUCCAUUCAACCCAAAAUUGUUUAAAAUCUAUUUAAGUUUUUAGUUUAUUCGUUUUUACUUUCAACUUCACCAAACUCAAAUCCCCCUUUUACUUUCUUGUUUUAAAAUCUUUUGUUUACAUUUUUAACUUUGUUUCUUUUUGUUUUUGAGUCAGUUUAGAGGUUUUAGCAAGCCCUCCUAAUCCCCGGUUUAGAACGAUCCCUACUUACAUACUUUGCUACAAUUGUCAAAAGAGGGUUUAAUUUGUGUGCUUAUAUUAUUCGCAUCAAAUUUUGGCGCCGUUGCCGGGGAUUAGCAACUUUGCUAAAUCCCCAUUGUUUCUUUUUAUUUCUUUUUUUGUGUGUUUUAAUUUUAGUUUUAAUUUUAUUUUGUUUAUUUCAGGUACUAGUUUAUGACUCGUAGUUCUCAACCAGUUCAUGCACAUAUAUCGGAGUUUGACGGCAAUUUUGAACGAACUUUGAGAAGGAAAAGGAAAGUACCAGAACCUAGCCCACCUAGUUCUAGUUCUGAAUCCGAAUUUGAAGAAAAGGAGGAGGUAGAAAAAGACAUGGAGGUGGACAAUCGAACAAUCAAAGAACUUUCAGCCUCGGGAUUGGACAAUGCUGCGCCUCUAUGUAUCCAAUACCCCGCAGCAGCCCGAGGAAAGACAGAAGAAUUUGAAUUGAAGUCAAGCUUGUUACACCACAUUCCGAAGUACCAUGGGUUGUCCAUGGAAGAUCCUAACAAACACUUGAAAGAAUUCGAGGUGGUGUGUUCGAGCAUGACCCCCGUAAAUGUCAAUGGGAGUAUUUUGAAGAUGAAAGCCUUCCCUUUUUCUCUCUUGGAAAAGACGAAGGAUUGGUUGUACGAAUUGGCGCCCGGAACCGUCACAUCAUGGGAAAGCAUGAAACGGGCCUUCUUGGAGAAAAUUUUCCCAACUUCUUGAGUCAUCCUCCUACGGAAAAGGAUAAGUGGAAUUCAACAAGAGGAAGGUGAAUCUUUUCCUACUUAUUAUGAACGUUUUAAAUCUCUUGUUGCUUCUUGUCCACAGCAUCAGAUGAAGGAGGAACUUCUUUUGCAAUACUUCUACGAGGGGCUACUACCUAUCGAACGUCAAAUGCUAGAUGCCUCGGCGGGAGGAGCCUUGGUGGACAAGACCCCCACGGCAGCAAAGACUUUAAUUUCCAACCGUGCGUUGAAUGCUCAACAAUACGAAGGCGUUGGACAAAGGAGUAACCCACGACCACAUCAAGUCAAUGAGGUAAGUGCCAUAACCGAACUUCAAAAUCAAAUGGCUAACCUUACUACUUUGCUUUCUCAGGUAGUGGAAGGUCCAAAAGUGCAAAACGUGGCAGCUUGUGGCGUGUGUUCCAUGCAAGGCCACCUUACGGACAAGUGCCCACAGUUGAUAGAAAAUGGAGGGUGGGAGACCCUCAAUACCGUGGGAUUUGGCAACCAAUACCAACCAAGGAAUGACCCCUUUUUCCAAUACUUACAAUCCCGGUUGGCGUGAUCAUCCCAAAUUUCAAAUGGCGAGAACCCUAACAAGGCCAACAACAAAGCGGAUUUAGGCAACAACCCCCGGGUUUAUCAAAAAAAGCCGUUUGCAACCACCAACUCAACCCCAAGCACACAACCUGCCCAAAAAUCAGGUUCGUCUAUUGAUAAUGAUCAAAUUUUUAAUUUACUAACUUCUAUGGCGCAGGGAAUGCAAAAUAGGGACAAAAAGGUGGACGAGUUGGAGAAACAAGUAGGGCAAAUUGCCGAGUUUGUUGGGCAGUUUAGAGAACAAGGCAAGCUUCCUAGUUCAACCAUUGCGAAUCCAAAAGGAGGCUUUGAAACCGUCAAUGCAAUCAUGUUGAGAAGUGGUACACAGGUUGGAGCCAAACCAAAAUCAUCCAAAUCAAGUCACGAUGAGGAUGAAAAGUUGCUACAAGAGGAAGCACAGGGACCAAAACUCACAGCCAAGGAUGAACAAUCCUUGCCACCACCAUCUAGCCCUCCUAAGCCGUCCCAAACCACCAAGGUAAGUCCAAAUUCGACUUUUUCUAGUUUCCAUUCCACUAAAUGUGCCCUUUCCUGGCAGGUCCUGGCAGGUCAAAAGGCAAUCAAAGAGGAGGAAGAAAGUUCUAGAGACCUUUCGGAAAGUUCAAGUCAAUAUUCCCGCUCCUUGAUGCAAAUUAAGCAAGUCCCGAGGUAUGCUCAGUUUUUAAAAAGAACUUUGUACAUCAAGGAGAAGGAUUUCGAACAAAGAGGUGGUCCAAGUAAGUGAGAAUGUUUCUGCCAUGUUACAAAGGAAAUUACCCCCUAAAUGCAAAGAUCCGGGUAGUUUUACAAUUCCGUGCGUUAUUGGCAAGACUAAGUUUGAACAAUGCAUGUUAGACUUAGGGGCUUCGAUUAAUGUUAUAUGCCAUACUCUAUUUAUGCAUCUAUGAACUUAGGUGAGCUUAAAAACGAUGGUGUGAUUAUUCAAUUAGCCGAUCGUUCUAAUGCAUAUCCAAAGGGUGUUUUGGAAGAUGUGUUGGUGCAGGUGGGCAAUUUGAUUUUUCCAGCGGACUUUUACGUGCUUGACAUGGAGGAUUCACCCUAUUCUACCCCAUUGCCGAUACUAUUAGGGCGGCCCUUCAUGAAGACAGCCCAAACCAAGAUUGAUGUGGCUAAGGGAGAGUUAACAAUGGAGUUUGGUGAUGAAUUGAUUAAAUUCAAAGUUCCUGAAUAUGUUAAGAAUCCUCAUGAUGUUCAUUCUUGUUUUGCAAUAGAUGUGAUUAAAUAUGUGGGGAAGGAACAUUCAUGCGCACCAAUCAAGAAGGAUGUCCCUAGAUGCAUCAUCGAAGAGGGUAUUGGAGUGGAGCAUACAAAACAUGUCAUUACACCCAAAAUACCAAAUCUGGCCGAGAGCACCACCUUUGCUGCCCCUUUUGAGUCUUCAUCUACAUUCAUUGGUAAGCCUCCUCCUCUAAUUCCAAUUCCCAUUUCCACUAAAAGGUUAUUGCCUUCUAUGGUGCAGGUACCAAAUCGAAUCCAUGAUUAUGGGAGUUUUUACUUUGACCUUGGGAAGCUCAAUGCCACAAUCUGGGACCAUCAUUAUCCACUGCCAUACAUAGACCCAAUGCAUGAGUAUUUCAAGGAGCAUGUCAUGGAGGAUGUACCCCUCCAUGCCGUGGCACCUAGUCAAGCUUAAACGGAGGUACCGUCCGGCUGGAAGACGUUAAAGAAAGCGCUUCGUGGGAGGCAACCCAUGCAUUCGACAAAGGAAGGCCUAGAGAGCACUCCAAUUCUAGAUUUGCGUUCCUAAACCUUUCUCUUUGUUGUUUAAUUAGUUUCUGCCAUAUUUAGUUUGUUAGUGUUUGUUUGUUUGUUUAUGUGUUUUUGUGUUAGUUAUGCUUUGAAACAUUGAGGACAAUGUUUGGUUUAAGUGUGGGGGGGGUAACUAAAGUGUUUUGAUGCAAAAUCGUAGGGUUUUCUCACUCAUACUUCCCAAUGUUGUUUCUUGCUGUUUUUAGGUGUUUUCAGGCUGUUUUGGUGUGUUUUAGUGUGUGCUGACUUAUAACUCCGAAAAUCACAUAAAAAUUUGAAAAAUUGCUUUGCAAAACCCAAAAAGAGUUGUUUUUGUGUGUUUUUGUGUCUUAGGGUACCUUCCAACACAAUGAUGAGGAUUCGGUUUGUAAUUGCAUAACUGUUGAAGUAAGUUACAAACAUGGAUGAAAGUUUGACAUGCUCUUUGGUUUAUGCUUAGUUGUAAUUAUAGUUCAUGAAUUCACAUGUAGUCAAAAGAAAAAUUAGUUUUUGUAACAUGCUUGAAGAAAGAAACUCAAACUAACGCUACAACCCUGAGAGACUUGAGCUUUUAACGUUCUUUGGAGAGUUAAUAAUCUGUGCAUUUGUUGUCUUCUAAAGUCGUUGCAUGAUCUCAUUAUUCUUUGAUUGGUUACUACUUAGAAGGCGUUUUAUCAUGUAGUUCCAAAUGCUAGAACUCAUGCCCAUUUCAUUCAAAGCAUGCUAUUGAUCUGCAUAACACAUAUUCAAGAUGAAGUUGUGUAGUGACCACCACCAAAGCCAAAUUGUCGUGUAUCCUAUUUCAUUAUGUGUGUUUAAGUUUAACUCCAUUGAACCUUGUUUAGCCUUUUCUUUGUUAACCCACAUCAUCCUCACCUAGCCUAGAUUAGGAUUAUCCAUACCCUCGUUCUUAAAGUAUAGUAAGCAUGAUUCAAAUUGAAUUCCUUUUGAUUAAUGUGGGCAGAAAAUAAGUGUGGGGGAAGUGUUUAUCAUGUGAGUUUGUGUGCCAUAGGCACGAGUAAAAAAAAAAAAAAAAAAAAAAAAAAAAAAAAGAAAAAAAAGAGUUCCAAAAUAUUGUUUGUUGAAAUAAGGGUCCAAAACAAUGAAUUCGGCCCUAAGAAGUUGUUUAAAUCUUCCCCUUCUGUUUUAAAGUUAAUUUCUGCAAUCUAAGUGAAUUCUAAGUCUCAAUUUUACUACUUUGCUUACUAAUGCUUGAAGAACGUUUGUUUUCCCUAUCCUUUCUUUGUUAACCAUUCCCCAAGCCCCGUUACAACCCUUAACUUCUAUCUUGAGUGUUAUGUAUUUCAAUAUGUGGAGUUUGGGAUUGGUUUGAGCAUAUGGUGUCCCUGGUUCUCGCAUCUAAGUAGUAGCGUUCCAUUCAUGAGAUCAUAUCUAUAAAUGCUUAAUCAUUCCAGAAAAGUGCUUCUUUUAUAACAUGUGUGAGUGUUCGUUUCCAUGUUUACAUCAAUCUUCUCACAUAUACUUAGUAUAGGGAGUGUAGUUAGAAAUCUAUGUGAAAAUAAGAGUGUAUCCAGUAAGGAAUUGAGUGGAUUCUCUAAGGCAUGUUACCACGUCCAUAAUGUUGUUUUAAACGAUUAAAUGUGAGCUAGUGAAUGGUAACUAUGAUUAAGUAUAUGCUCAAGAGUAGGGAUGACUAAAAUAUGUGGGAAUAAUGAUCUUUGGCAUGUUAUGUAUCGUUGGAAAUCCCUAUAGCAAAUGUUGGAAGGUUAGGUUAUGUUUUGUUUGUUUUAUUUUGCUCGAGGACUAGCAAAAGCUAAGUGUGGGGGAAUUUGAUAGACGCAUAUUUAUGCGACUUAGUUAACUAGUUUUCUUGCAUUUACGUUAUUAGUUCUUAGUUAUUUUAGUACUUUAAGCCAUUUUCGUGUGUUUGUAGGUCCAAAGGGUUAAGGUAGCAAGAAAGUGCAUUUUGGUGCAUUUUGGAGCAGUUUUGAGCUUGGAAUGGAUUACUUAUGAUAUGAGCAAGAUGGAUGGACGAAUUUGAAGAAAAAAAGAGGAUAGGAACAUGCUAAAAAUCUGGUGAAACAAAUACAAGUUGCAAGAAGGGAUAAAUUUCUAGAAGGAUUGGCCAAAACUUCACUCAAAACCAUGCAUACCCCAUAAAAUUCAUCAAUGCCGUGGCCUUCCCUUUGUUUUACUUCCACCAGAUUUUUUAGUGAUGAUGCAAUGCCUAUCUCACUAUGACAUUUGAGUGGAUGAUGUAAUGCUUAACUCACCAUGACAUUUGAGUGGAUGAUGCAAUGCUUAACUCACCAUGACAUAUGAGUGGAUGACUCAAAACCUACCCUCACCAACAAUUCUCCACCUUGCCAUGCCUUACCUACUUCAUUCCACCAGAUUUUUGCAUUAAACAUGUCCAUCCUCUUCCUAUAAAUACCAUGGCAGCAACCUCAUUCAAAUCAUCCAGAAAUUAACCAUUCUCCAAGCCUUUCCUUGCCUCUCCUACAUAUCUAAACCCCUUCCCAUCCAUUCCUCCAAAUAACCAACCCUUCAACAUCAUUCCAACCUUGUUGUUGCGGCAAGGAGUAGGAGAAAAGUCCUUGGACGCACUUGCUAUCCAACAUGGAUCGUUGGAACGUUUAGGUGCUUUCUUCCCUUUGUUUUUCAAUGUUUAAAUUUGUUUAUCUUUGUUUUGUAAUAAUGAGGAACUAAACCCCCCUUGGCUAGGGGGGGAUUCGAAAUACAUGUUUAUGCUUGCGUUAUGAUUUGAUUACUUCUAAUUGGGUUUCAUAAGUUGUGAAUUCAAUUUACUUAUCUAUGUGAAUUACAUUGAUUUGUGUGUGUUGGUUGAGAGUGCACGCUUAAUUAUCAUGCAUAAAUUGAAUGCUAGGAUAUAAGGAAAUUUCACCUAAUCGUUAUGGAAUUAUAUUCACAAGUAGUAAAGGUUGAUGAUCUCAAUCGCGUUAAGUAAAUUCUUGGCAUAAGUUUCAUGCAAUCAUAGUAACAAGUGCUUCGUUAAUGCUUAUGGUUUUCAUAGAAUUUAAUGAUUCUUGCUUGUAUCUCUAUUAUGCAAUCAUGUAGGGGACUUGUGGGGAAUGUUUUGGGUUGUCGUAUGCAAUCAUCCAAUUCAAUAACGUUAGGAAAAUCUGAAGGUUAAUUUAAGCGGACCUAAUUAACUUGGGGCGUUGAGAAUUCAUGGUUUAUUGAAAUGCAAUUGGAAAAUCGUUUUGUAUGCAAGUAUAACAUGUGUGGAGAUGAAACCCUUAGCUAGCCUUCCAUUAUCCAUUCAACCCAAAAUUGUUUAAAAUCUAUUUAAGUUUUUAGUUUAUUCGUUUUUACUUUCAACUUCACCAAACUCAAAUCUCCCUUUUACUUUCUUGUUUUAAAAUCUUUUGUUUACAUUUUUAACUUUGUUUCUUUUUGUUUUUGAGUCAGUUUAGAGGUUUUAGCAAGCCCUCCUAAUCCCCGGUUUAGAACGAUCCCUACUUACAUACUUUGCUACAAUUGUCAAAAGAGGGUUUAAUUUGGUGCCCCACUCCAUCUCUAAAUUGCCGGCCAUAGGGAUUCAUUGGACUAUUUGGGCCUUUGUGAAUCAUUAUUCAUUAAGUUGUCAUACAACUUAAGUCAAUGGACUUGACGUUCGAAGCCCAUUGGGCCUUAAGGUCCAAAACUAUCCCGAGGUCUUUAACGAACUUAUUCGUUUGAUUAAUUAACAUAUUAAUUAAUCCUUGCCAUAAAUAAUUAAACCAUUUAAUUAUUCUUACUCAUCUCCGUUGUUUCUUUAAUCUCUACCUUACACGGUGUACGAUCCAUUAGGUUCCUUUUUAGCGAGGCAGUGGGCGAUUAAAACUCUUUCAAAUCGAUUGUGAAUUGAAACUUACUUUCAAUUCUCCCUUUAGUGUUUAUACACGUUUAGGGCUUCCACAAACCAAGAGUGACACCUAGUAGCAUAUCAUGGUUACCCAAGCUAAUCAGAAGAGGUGGAGAACCUAUUCAGUUUAGGAUUACAAAUGCAAUACGGUCUUUCUCUAAUACAAUACUCUUGACCACAUUGUUUGGUUUGAUAGUUUAUUCAUGUCUACUAUCCAAUGUGAUUCGUGUGCUUAUAUGAUUACCUUGAAUGUGAUUUGGAACGACUUCCUAAAUCUCAUUCAUACUUUGGCCAAAGAUUCUUAAUCAUAUCAUAGAGUAUUCUCCCUCAAACGGUUUGAAGGUUAGAGAUCCCUUCUUGCGCAUUCACUUGCCUCCAUGGCUAAGUGGCUUAACCCCAACGAUGCCGUGGACACCCUCGAAUGGAGUGACUUUGACACAAUCAAAGAUCAAGGACUUAACCACAAGACAACUAUGAUGCCUCAGGUCAAAGGACUACUUUGCAUUAUUCCAACCAUGAGUUCUCAUGUGACAUGAGUAUGAGAACUCCUCGUUGAUCGUGUUCAGUGACUCAUUCGCUAAUGAGCACCUACAUGCUUGUCUUGAUGUCACACACACCAAUGACUCGAGACUAGUCACUCUCCCUGAGAGAAGACACAGCACGUACUGAUCUUAAUGGACUGUCAAUGCCCAAUUAGCAAUCCUAUGAUCAGGAACGUUUAUGAUAUGUAUACGAAAGAGAAUGGUCUCAUUAAUCUAACUUGUUUAAAUCAUAUUCUCCUGAUUACAUAUUCCUUGGACUUAUCGUUUAAGCAUAUAACAUUUAUAUGAGACGGCUUAAACAAUAAUCUUUGCCCUUGAUAUUAAACUAGAUUAGUUUAACAUGUGAAAUGUCUACAACACUUGCCGCACUGUAAACAUGCUAGAGUUGACGAGUACGAAAUAGUUGUAGGAUGAACCUAUUGUUAACUACAUCAAUAUGUGGCGUUCAUUAAGUUUGGAUUGCAAAGAUCGGUUUUUUGAAACCUUAGCCAUUGAGAUGUGUUUUCAAGGCAUGCAUUGGGUGUUACAUUACAUCCUCCAAGGCAUAAAACUUAGAACAUUUGAGGAGCUGGUAACCUGUUCCCACGACAUAGAGUUGAGUAUCACCAAUCAUAGGAAGAAGAAGCCGAUCACCGACUUCAAGAAGGAUAAGUUGUUUGCCCCAAAGGUAGAGAAGACUGGGAAGAAGCCCACCAAGGAAGCUUUUACCAUCAAUACUAUCGUCAUCAAGACCUCAUCCAUGCCCUUCAAGAUCUUCUCCAAAAACAAAACAAAGGAGAUGAAUAGAGGUGAGCCUUCUCGCACCCAAGACAGUUACAAAAACACCUUGAGGGAACUUGAGCAGAAGACGUACCCUUUUCUUGACUCUAACGUGGCUGCAAUGCUAGACGACCUGUUGAAGAAAAAGGUAAUUGAGUUACCUAAAUGCAAGUGCCCCAAAAAGAUGAAUCACAUUAACAAUCCUAGGUACUGCAAGUAUCAUCGUAUCGUGAGUCAUCCUGUUGGCAAGUGGUUCAUACUUAAGAAGCUCAUCAUGAAGCUAGCACAACAAGGGAAAAUCGGGCUUGACCUGGAAGACACGGCCGCAAUACAUAUUACUACAAUCGUGUUUGGAUCCUUCGAUCCCAUGGCUUUCCAAGUGACACAUGACUACUCCCGUCUAUGCUCAAACUACACGACAUCUUCUGCACAACCAUUGUUGGAGGCAAGCGACCAAAAUGCACCUACCAACGAUGAAUAAGCGUGGACACUGGUGACCUACAAAAAGAAUAAGGAAGCCAAGACCACAAGCCACAAGGUCAAGGUGGAACAAGGGAGAAAGCACCGCCACCGUAACAGUAGGAAACUCAAAAGAAACAUAAGAGCUACUAACCCAACGUACGCUGGGGAACAUAUGGAGCAAGCGCCAUGCAUUCUUGUCUCCUUGCACGAGUACUUCUUGAAGGACUUCUUCCAACAGUGCACUACCGUGGCCUAUCACAUGGUUGAAGUGGAGAUAGAAGAGCCCUCAAAAGGUAAAGCUAUUGCUGUCAAGGAAGAGAAGACCUUUAUGCCUAAAUGAUAAGCUCAUAUUUAUAUAUAUUUUACAUAAAAUUCACUUGUCUUUUCGUAGUUAGUUCCUUAUAUUUUUGAGCUAUUUACUAUGUUUUUGUGUUUUGUGUGAUUUAUCAAGCAAAGAAAAGAAAAGUAGCACAAGUGAGUUAUUAAGUAACAAAUUCGUCAAAACUGCCUGUGCAGAUUAGCUGACUUUGGAAGAAUGUUACGAACAGCUCAGAAUGAAUGAGAGAAUGAGUCUUAUAUUUUUGGAAAGCUACGGAUGUCUAUUUUCUGGAGCAAUUUACGGAUUGUUAAUAUCAUUCUUCUAGAAGAAGUUAUGGGCAUUGUAACACUGAAAGGUUCAAAAAAGGGCUAAGCAGAUUUGGCUAAUAAAGUGAGAAAGUAAAGGCACUUGUUUUGUGUUUUGCUUUGUCAUCAACACUCAGCAGCAUAUAGGGUUAUGAUUGCACUCAUUUGGUUUUGGAGCAAGUGGAAAUGCACAGCUAGAAGAUGAACAAGGCACAUGGAAGAAACAUGGACAACACACACACAAAGAGAAAGGGAUGGCAUGGACAGUUUGACAUGGGCAGAAAAUGGGUGGAUUGUUGGCUGAAAUAAUGAAGAAUAUGUGUGUGCAAAUGCAAAGGAAAAACACACACACAUGGGUAAAGGAAACACACACACAUGGGCAAAGGAAAAACACACACAUGGGCAGAAAAUGGGUUGAUUUGUGGCUGAAAUGAUGGAGGUCAUGUGUGUGCAAAUGUAAAGGGAAACAUGGACAUCACACACCCAUACAAACUGCACAUGCAAGGAAUUGAAUCCUCUCCUUAGCCUAUAAAUACAUCCACCAUUCCCCUUCCUAGAGACAAUCUUGAUCCAUCAAAAGAGCUUCAUUCACAAACACAAUUUCCUUGUAGUGACCCCCAUCCAUUCAUCUAGCCAUACUACAUCUCACCGAUCCAUACACUUUCAUCUCUUAGCCGUGUAAAUCCAUUCCAUCCAUUCAUCUAGCCAUACUACAUCUCACCAAUCCAUACACUUUCAGCUCUUAGCUGUGCAAAUCCAUUCCAUCCAUAUAUCCAUACACAUCCUAGACACUUGUGCUACAACAAGGUGGUGAAAACAAAGGUCCUUGGCGUUUCAAGCUUGGAACUUUGGAGUGGUUUAGGUGUACUUCGUUCUUGCUUUCAAUGUCUACUUUGUUAUUUUCUAAUUUUGUUGCAAUUAUGAGUGGCUAAACCCCUAUUUAGUUAGGGGGAAGUUUGAAGCCAUGAACAUGCUUGAGAUUUGAAUUGAUUUCUUCCAAUUGUGAUUUGAUAAGUUGUGAUUGCAAUUUAAUUAUCUAUUUUAUUCAUAACUGAUUCUUGUAUGUUUAUUAAGGAUGCAUACUUAGUUUUCAUGCAUGAAUUAGAUGCUAGAAUAUAAAUGAGUUUCACCUAAUCGUUACAAGUUUAUAUUCAUGAGCAGUGAAGGUUGUUUAUCACAAUCGCGUUAAUUGAAUUCUUGGCAAUUGUAUCAUGCAUUCAUAGUUAUAAUUACCUCGUCAACACUUAUGAUUUUCAUUGAACGUAAUGAUCUCUGAUUGUAUCUCUAUUAUGCAUUCAUAUAGGGGACUUUUAGAGAAUGAUUUGGGUUGUCACAUGCAUUCAUCCAAUUCAAUGAGUAAAGGAAAAUCUGAGGGUUAAUUUGUGCAUCACGGUUAAUCUAGGGUGUUGAGCAUCAUAGUUUAUUGAAAAGCAAUUGGAAAUUAAUUCAUAUACAAGUGUGUCAUGUGUGAAGAACGGACCUCUAACUAAUCCAUCCAUCAUCUUAUUUCUUAAAUUCGUUUUACAAUCUGCCUAGUUUUAUAACUUGUUUGUUUGUUUCAAAUUCAUCAAAACUAAAAUCCCCCUUUUACUUUCUUGUUUCAAAGUGUUUAAAAUCUGUUUUGUUUGUGUUUUAGAGUGUUUUGAGUCAAGUCAAAACCCAAAUUUUGUCCAAAGUUGUGUUAGAGUCAGAAACUGCCUAGUUUGUGUUUUUAGGUAGUUUUAAGUGUCUUUAAGUUAUUUUGAGUCUUGUGAACCUGUUUUGAGUUCUUUAAGUCUAUUCAAAUGUUUUUAACUUUGUUUUUAUGUUUUUGAGUUAGUUUAGAGGUUUUAGCAAGCCCUCAUAAUCCCCGGUUUAGAACGAUCCCUACUUGCAUUAUUACUACAAUUUGACAACAAGAGGGUUUAAUUUGAGUGCUUAACUAUCAUCGCAUCACUAAAGAAGGCUUGCCAACAUAUUUUAGCAUCAAGGAAGCAUUACUAAUGUCCAAGAUGAUGCGAAAAGCACUAGUAGCGGUCUUGGCGAGUCUCGACGACCAUAAAGUGCAAAAAAGCAAGGACGAAGGCUUGAAACUUCGGCCACAUGAGUAUGCUAUAUGUUGUGCCGCCCAUGACGCAAUCAACUUCACUGAUAAAGAUUUGUUGCUAGGAUCAAAGCCUCACAACCGUCCUCUCUUCGUCUCUGGGUACAUAAGGGAGCAUAAAGUCAACUGUAUGCUUGUGGAUGGUGGAUCGACCAGAAAGAUCAUGCCAAAGUCAACAAUGACCACAAUCGGUAUCAAGUUGGAUAACUAUCCUAAAGCCGCCUUCUAAUCCAAGGUUUUAACCAAGGAGGACAAAAAGCAAUGGGCAAGAUCUGAGUAGAGAUGACCAUUGGUGAAUUUAAAUCAAGCACGCUAUUCUAUGUGAUUGAUGCGAGGCAACACCAAGCCAUUCACCAAAGUCGAAUCACACUUCGCAGACGCCGAGUUUUAUAUGGAUGAAGACAUGGUGCCUAAAGCUCUUCCAAAAGAAAUCAAAUCCAUAGUCAAAGCCACACCUAAGAAACAAAAAUGGCAAGCUGUGCCCAAGAAACAAGAAGGGGAAGUUGUGCCAUCUUCAAGCAAAAACAACGAUGAGUCUGCUAAGCCCAUAACAACCAAAGAGAGUGUGACACCCUCAAAAGGACCAAACAUACCCGUCUUCCAAUACAUCCCAGUAUUAAGAAGAAAGAAAGGCAAUCCCUAUUCGAAACUGGAACAAGCAAAAUUGACACAUAGCUAUACAAGGACGAUGUAAAGCUUCUCAAGACAAAUGAAGUUUUUCUCCUGACACAGUUGGGCAACACUAAAGUUUCAAAACCACUAUAAGGCUUUGUAAAACCCUGCCAAAGGGGGCAAAAUCAAGCUCUCUUCUAACCAAGAGGACCAAAAAAGGUUUCGACCCAAACGCCUACAAACUCAUGUCAAAGGCUGGGUUCGAUUUCUCUUCCACUUUAAAUCUUAGAAAGAAGAAUGCAAACACCAUCAACGACAACAAACAUGACCUCACCGAGAUGCAAAAGAAGUUGAAGGAGCAUGCUUACGGAUUUGACAGCAACAAAGUUCAACUUAGCUCCACAUCAAAUACACCCGUGAAAAUUUUAAGAAAAGAAAAAAACACUAGCGCUCAACACAUCAGCGUAAGCGUUAAAACAAGAUCAAGAGGAGCCUAAACCCGCCCCUCGAACAUCAGUCUUUGAUAGGUUGAAUCGUUCAAAGCCCAAAAUCCCAGCACUUGAUCGCAUCGGUGAUCAAUAUCGAACUUCUGUCUUCAAACGGCUUAACACGCCAACACCUCAAAGAUCUGUGUUCGAAAGGUUGUCAAAACCUAAGAAGCAAAGCGACACGGCUAGCACUCCUCCAUAAUGGUCGGCCUUGGAAAGACUUGACGAAACCAAGAAGCCUUCUAGGAAGAGGAAGACAACGCCAAAAGAAGAAAAGCUUGAUGGUCUAGUAGCAAAUGACGACUUUCGAAGCUCAAUUGUAACCUUGGAAGUUGACACAAAAUGACAAGUAAAGGUAAAGAGGCGCACGAUCAUCUAUGUUGGCCAAUCUUCACCCCAACAAGUCCAAGAGGACGACAUUGAAGAGGAGGUCCAAGACGACUUCUACAUCACAAUCUAAGAAGACAAAGAAGACGAAAUCCUCGAGAAAGACGUCACCGCUGCGCCACCACAACCCGAGGACCGUGGGGGCAAGUCACGGUUGAUGAUCUCAAGGAGCUUAAGUUAGGCACAAGCGAGAAUCCGAAGCCUAUCUUCGUAAGUGCACUACUAAGUGCAGACGAGAUCGAGGCCAACUACUCUUGGAGUAUAAAGAUGUCUUUGGUUGGACUUACAAGGAAAUGCCCGGCCUUGACCCUACCAUCGUCAUGCAUCAUCUUGCAGUCAAACCAGGGACGCGACCGAUAAAGCAAACUCAAAGACGCUAUCAAUCCAAGCUCAUUCCACAAAUUGAGGCCGAGAUUGACAAGUGUUGGAAAUGUGCCCUAAAACCAAUCAUAUGAUGAUACUUUACGGACAUUUCACAUGUUAAACUAAUCUAGUUUAAUAUCAAGGGCAUAGAUUAUUGUUUUAAGCCGUCUCAUAUAAAUGUUAUAUGCUUAAACGAUAAGUCCAAGGAAUAUGUGAUUGGGAGAAUACGAUCUAAAGAAGUUAGAUUCAUGAGACCAUUCUUUCGUAGACACAUCCUAAACGUUCCUGAUCAUAGGAUUGCCAAUUGGGCAUUGACAGUCCGUUAAGAUCAGUACGUGCUGUGUCUUCUCUCAGGGAGAGUGACUAGUCUCGAGUCAUUGGUGUGUGUGACAUCAAGACAAGUACGUAGGUGCUCAAUAGAGAAUG
rnacentral:lncRNA from 1 species